rnacentral:lncRNA from 1 species
GUUCUUUAUAUAUAUAUAUAUAUAGAGAGAGAGAGAGAGCUAGGCUUGUAUACUAUCGGUAGCACGGAGGCCUCCGCGCUACCAAGAUAUUUUCAAUGAUACGGUUUCCAAAUCGACAAUUGGCUCCGUUAGACUUGAUCUACACUAUUAAAAAUAUUUGAAAACUAAAUUUCAUAAUUUUUCGACAUCAUUUGGCUAGUGAUCAAAAGGUCUCAAAAGUGAUAAUUUUAAUGGUAGAUAUGAUGCAUUUUUAAGUUUAAUGGUGUAAAACAAUCCAAAUCAGAUGAAAUUUUUAUAGAAAAUUAUUUUUAUUAUUUAGAGUAAGGUCAGUACCUCUGAUUUUAAAUUUAAGUCUUCUAUCAUCAUUUUUUAUGAGAUUUUUAUUUUCAGCCGUUCAUUUUUAGACUACUCGUUUGAUAGGUAAACGAUAUCGAAAAAUUAUGAAAUUUAGUUUCCAAAUAAUUUCAAUAGUGUAGAUCAAGUCUAACGGAGCCGAUCGUCGAUUUGGAAGCGGCAUCAUUGAAAACAUCUUGAUAGCACGGAGGCCUCCGUGCUACCGAUAGUAUAUAUACUAGCCUAGCGCGCUCUCUCUCUCUCUCUAUAUAUAUAUAAAAUCCGGCUAUAGUGCUUUUAAAAGUACAAAGUAUUUGGUGCUUGUAAGUUUUUUGCUGUUAGAUCUACCCAUUGGAUCAUUUUUACCUAUUAAAUUAUACUAUUUAACCAAUCACCCACUCAACCCUAGAGGACCACCAUGAUCCUAACAUCACAUCCCUUAAUCCAAGAGCCGAAAGCCUACAAGCACCAAUGACUUAAUACUUUUAAAAGCAUAGGAGUUCAAUUCUAUAUAUAUAUAUAUAAAGUUGAGCUGGAAUACUAUUAAUAGUAUUUGGGCUCUUUGCUAUUGAUUUUUUAGCCAUUAAUCUAUACUUUAAUCAAUUCUACCUUUUAGAUCAUACUAUUCAACCGACCACCCACUCAACCCUAAGGGGAUCACCACUAAACCCUAGGGGACCACUAUUAUCAUAACCCUACAAUUUUUCAUCCAAGGGUUAAAAGUUCGAUAGCAAAAGAGCUCAAAUACUAUUAAUAACAUUCCAGUAUAUAUAUAUAUAUAUAUAUAUAUAUAUAUAUAUAUAUAUAUAGAAUUGAGCUAGAAUACUUUUAGAAGCACCAACUGUCACGCCCCGAGCUCCGCCGAUUUAGUCGGAUUCGGGGCAUGACACCAACCCUUUGGUGCUUCUAAGUUUCUAGCCCUUGGAUCUACUCCUUAAUUACUAAUACCUCUUAGAUCUAACACUAUUCCACCUAUCACUAGCAUCUCAAUCCUACAUCUCUCCAUCCAAUGGUUAAAAACUCAAAAGUACUACCCCCUUGGUGCUUUUGAGAGUAUUCUAGCUCAACUCAUAUAUAUAUAUAUAUAUGGGAAACUUUGAAUACCCCCCUUGUGGUUUCGCACUUUCUCACUUUAGUACCCUGUGGUUUAAAGUGUAUCAAGUUAGUAGUUUGUGGUUUCAAUUUUCUCUUUUUAUUAUCCAUUUCAUGGUAUAUAAUUUAACGAAAUAUUAAACCACAUGUUACUAAAGUGAGAAAGUGCGAAACCACGGGGUACUAACAUGAUACACUUGAAACCACAGGGUACUAGAAAAUACGAAACCACAGGGUACUAAUUUGAUACACUUUAAACCACAGGGUCUAAAAUGAGAAAGUGCGAAACCACAUGGGGGGUAUUUGAAGUUUCCCCAUAUAUAUAUAUAUAUAUAUAUAUAUGAGUCCGGCUACUAUACUUUUAUAAGUAUUACUAUACUUUUAUAAGUAUUGGCUCCCUUAUACUCAUAAAUUUUCGGCCCUUAGAUUUAUUCUAUUAAUCAUUUUUAUCCGUUAGAUCAUACUAUUUAACCCACUACCCACUCAACCCUAGGGGAUCAUUAUUAUUUUAAGUAGGGACCACCAUCAUCCUAACCACACAUCCCAUUAAUCAACGGUUAAAAAUUUAUGAGUACAAGUGGAUCUAUACUCAUAAGAGUAUAAUAGCCCCAGCCUAUAUAUAUAUAUAUAUAUAUAUAGAGAGAGAGAGAGAGAGAGAGAGAGAGAGAGAGAGAGAAAGAGAGAGAGUUUGGUUAGGAUACUAUUGAUAGUACCAAGGGUUUGAUGCUAUCGAAUUUUCUACCAUUAGAUUUAACCCUUUAAUUAUUUUUACCCAUUAGAUUAUACUAUUCAAUCAACCACUCACUCAACCCUAGGAGACCCACAUCAUCCUAACCGCACAUUUUUCAAUCCAAAGGCUAAAAAACUAAUAGCACCAAUAGCUUGGUGCUAUUGAUAGUAUUCCAGCUUAUAUAUAUAUAUAGAAUUUUGCUACUAUACUAUCAAUAGUAUCAAGUCCUUGGUACUAUUGAGUUUUCGGCCGUUGGAUGAAAGGAUGUGCGGUUAGGAUGAUAGUGAUCCCCUAGGGUUGAGUGGGUUGUUGGUUUAAUAGUAUAAUCUAACGGGUGGAAAUGAUCAAAGGGUAGAUCUAACGGUAGAAAACUCAAUAGUACCAAGGGCUUGGUACUAUCGAUAGUAUAGUAGCCGGACUAUAUAUAUAUAUAUAUAUAUAUAUAUAUAUAUAUAGAGCUAGGCUUCUAUACUUUCGAAAGUACGAAGGCCUCCGUGCUUGUAAGUUGUUUUCAAUGAUGGGACAUCCGAUUCGGCGAUCGGUUCCGUUAAACUUGAUCUACGCUAUUGGAACUAUCUAGAAACCAAAUUUAAUAGUUUUUUGACUUUGUAUGUCUGAUGAACGAGUAGCCUCAAAAUGAACGGCCGAAAAUGAAAAUCUCAUAAAAAAAAAUAGUGAUAAAGGACUCAAAUUUCAAAUCGGAAGUAUUGAUCUUGCUAUUGAUGUUAAGUAGAAUUUUUUAUUAAAUAUUUAUGUAAUUUGGAUACUUCUACACUGUUGAACUUAAAAACAUGUCACAUCGGCCGUUAAAAUAGUCAUUUUUGAGACCUUUUGAUCGUUUGGUAAAUGAUGUAAAAAAAAAUAAAAUUUGGUUUCUAGAUAGUUCCAAUAGGGUAGAUUAUACUUAACGGAGCCGAUCGUCGAAUCGGAUGUCUUAUUAUCGAAAACAACUUACAAGCACGGAGGUCUCCGUACUUUCAAAAAUAUAGGAGACGUACUAUAUAUAUAUAUAUAUAUAUAUAGUCCGGCUACUAUACUUUUUUAUGAGUAUUGGCUUCUUAUACUCAUAAGUUUUCGGCUCCUAGAUUUAUUCUAUGAUCAUUUCCACUUGUUAGAUCAUACUAUUCAACCAACUACCACUCAACCCUAGGAGACCACUAUCAUUCUAAGUGGGGACCACCAUCAUCCUAAUCACACAUCCCAUCAAUCAACGUUUAAAAAUUUAUGAGUACAAGGGGUUCUAUACUCAUAAGAGUAUAGUAGCCCCAGCCUAUAUAUAUAUAUAUAUAUAUAUAUAUAUCCAUCUGAUUAUUUUUAUGCUACAAAUUUGUGUGCUGUUCUUCCAUCUAUAUUCUCCUUUUCUACCACAAAUUUGGAACACAGUAUACAAAGUGUUUUUUUUUCCUUUUUAUCUGUAUGACAGGAAAAGAAGAGCAGAAUGUGGAAAUUAAAUUGAAGACCUUCAAUCAAGAAGAAGACAAUGGGUCUGUAAUUUUGGUGGUCAAUGCAUGCUGUAGUCAUGACAUAAAGGAUAAAGUUGUAGGAGUUUGCUUUGUUGCACAAGAUGUGACAGGGCAGAAGAUGCUCAUGGAUAAAUUUACCCGCAUUCAGGGCGACUACACUGCAAUUGUAAGAAAUCCAAGCGAACUCAUCCCCCCAAUAUUCAUAAUUGAUGAGCAUGGUUGCUGUUCUGAAUGGAACGCAGCUAUGCAAAAGCUCUCUGGCAUGAAGAGGGAGUGUGCAAUAGAAAAAAUGCUUGUUGGAGAAGUUUUUGCUGUCCACAGUUUUGGCUGCAGAGUGAAAGACCAUGACAGUCUCACCAAGCUCAGGAUUGUGCUGAACAGUGUAAUUGCUGGUCAAGAAGCAGACAAGAUUUCAUUUGGAUUCUUUGAUUUGAAUGGAAAGUAUGUGGAAGCAAUACUUUCAGCAAGCAAGAGAACUAACUCCGAGGGUAAAAUAACAGGGGUUUUGUGCUUUUUACACGUAGCCAGUCCAGAGAUUCAGCAUGCUCUGCAGGUGCAGAAGAUGUCUGAGCAAGCUGCAAUGAACAGCCUCAAGGAAUUAACCUAUCUUCGUCAAGAGAUAAGGAACCCUCUAAAUGGAAUCUUAUUUACUCGUAGUUCAAUGAACUCUUCUGAUUUGACCAAGGACCAGAGGCAGCUUCUGAGAACAAGUUUUUUCUGUCAAGAGCAGUUGUCAAAAAUAUUAAAUGAUAUAGAUCUAGAAAGCAUCGAGCAGUGGUAUGAAUGUCCUCUUCAGUUCAUUUCCUUUUCCAUGGUAGUAGUGUCGUGCAUUGUUGUUGUUAUCACUAGUUAAUAUUUUAAGGGCUAGUGUCUUCAAGUAUAAAAAGACUAUCAUUCAAAAACAAAGAACUGAUUAAGUAAUUUAGUUACUUUAUGUGAAUUCUUGUGGUGUUGAAAUUUGUAGCCCCAAACAAAGAAUCUUCAGUUUUUCAUAGUUCUUACAAUGGUUCAUGAGAUAUCUGGUCUCAAAUCCAGUAGAAAAUUACAUCUCCAUUACCUUCUUCCCGUUAACAGUUAUUGAUACCAAUAACUAUCCAUAAUUAUGAUCCAUGCAUGUCAUUUUUGGACUCUGUAAAAUGUUCUUUAUUGAGUGCAGUGGUCAAUCUUGUAUUCAUUGGAGCAUUAUUUGUGCGACAUUUUUGAACAGCUACAUGGAGCUCAACACGGUGGAAUUCAACCUUGGAGAAGUCCUGGAUGCAGUUGUAAUCCAGGGGAUGGCUCUAAGCGAGGAUAGACAAGUGCCUCUGGGCCGUGAUUGGCCUGCAGAAGUAUCUAAUCUGUACUUAUAUGGGGACAACUUGAGGCUGCAGCAGGUUCUAGCAAACUUCUUAUCUAGCGCACUCCAAUUCACACGACCGUCUGGAGGCUCAAUUCUACUUCGGGUCAUUCCUCGAGUGGAACAAAUAGGAACUCGGGUGCAAAUUUUCCAUCUUGAGUUCAGGUAAUGUACCUUCCAAGACUUGACUUUGUACUAAAUUUGUCAAGUCUGAUUUCCGAAUUGUGCAUAAUAAUAUAGUAGAUACCCUGCAGCCAUGAACGCUAACUUUUCAUCUAUAGAUUUGCUAAUGCACCAAUGUGGAUUGAGUGUGCGCCUCUGUUCAUUAUGCCUUCAACUAAACACACAUGUAUUUCUUUAUGUAAGAAAAUAUGAAGCGUCACCAGACUUGUACAAAUGUGGAAAAGAAAAAGUGAUUAAUUUAAUCCUUUUGAAUGAUGCUCUUGUUUAUUACUAGAUCUUAAUUGAGUUCCUGUGUGAGUUACUCUUUAACUAUCACUAGGACUGCUAAAGAAAAUAAAGGCCAAGGAUUUAGAAACUAAAGGAACUGCUUGUAAGUGGAAACAUGAUUCCUCUGAUUGAAAUAUUCAUGUUUCCAAAAUACAAUUUCACUUUUUCAUUGUACAAGGCAGAGGCACUUGAGGUUAUCCGCCGUGAUAAGUUUUGCAGUACUACUACUACUGCAAAUCUGGGAUAUUCAUUAAGAAGUGUAUUUAUAUAUUUGCAGCAUUGUCUAUGGUCAUUGAUAAUUAUACUCCAAACCUGAUAACAAAUUGCAGGAUAAUUCAUCCUGCACCUGGUAUUCCUGAGGCUUUGGUACAAGAGAUGUUUCACCAUAGCCAGGGUGCAUCGAGAGAAGGCCUGGGCUUGUUCAUCAGCCAGAAGCUCAUAAGGAUCAUGAAUGGCACCGUGCAGUAUCUGAGAGAAGCAGAGAGAUCUUCUUUCAUCAUUCUAGUGGAGUUCCCAUUGGUCCACCGUAAGCAAAGGAGAUUAUGAGGUUUGUUACUGGGUGGCGGGAAUAGAUAACAAUCUUGGUUCUCCUUGAACUUUGCUUGUUUAUGAGGCCCAUUUGGUGCCGGGUUUAGAACAUCCGCUGUCAAAGGCAAUCAGCAAACCUAACAUGGAAAAAAACCUACUACCUUAAUUUCAUUUCAAGUCGCUAUAUUAGUGAUUGAUGGAUGAAUAUAGCAGUUGUUUUGGGUCCUUCGUAUAUCUCUACCGCCUCUGCAUCAGAGGCGGGGAAAUAAAAUUGGAGCACUCUUUUUAGUCUCAAGGUUCCGCUUGAAAUUUAUUAGCAAAGAGUUGCCUAUGGUCUUUCCUUUGAAGAAGAAAUUGUUAGCAGAGGGUAUUUGUAUGUAACUUGUCAAUCACUUGAAAUAUUGUGUUUCAUUUUAUUUUAGGGUAAACUUCAAUUUAUCCCACUGUGGCUUUAUGUUAUAAGCAGCAGGUUGUUACGGUAAGCUCUACUACAAAACAAAAUUUAGUGUGAAUUAACAUAAAUCAUCUCAAGAUUCCUUGAUGCUUUAUAUUUCGUGUGGUGACUGCGACCACUGUUGAAUAAUGCGAUCUAUAUCCAAAUACUUCUGAAGCCAAAUUCUUAGCUUGCCUUUUGGCAUUCAGUGGAUUUUUUUUGUAGGGGCUAUUUUCGGCAUAUUGGUUAAUGUUUUCUUGAUAAUAUGUUGCCUCUUUAAAGUUCUGCAUUUGUGUUCAGGGAAGCAGAAAAAAAUCUAUAUCUAUAUAAUUUAUAUAUAUAUAAAUAUAUGAAUCCUCAGUUAGAUCCACGUGGCAGCGAGGGGCGGAGUUGCGGAGGCGCGGGCGGGUGCGGGCAAUUAAUAUAAAAAUUUUAAUUCUUUUGGUCUAACUUUCACAACGGCCCUGCACUAGUAACCACUGUGUUCAUUUACACAGUCCCAUGUCGUAGCACAAUCUAACGAAAUAAGACAGGUUAAGUUUUGGUACACUGUGUUCAUUUACAUGAUAAAUUUACAUGACAGCCAAUCGUGGAGCAGCCUUAUCAAUCAAGGAUUGUUUCACUCACCCCAAAAUCGCAAAUCCUUGGUGCUAUCGAUAGUAUCCCAGCCGGACUCUAUUUUAAAUAUAUACACUACCAAUCUCCUAAUUUUAUAAAUAUUUCUUACCACAUUAAUUGUCCAUCUAGGCAAUCUAGAUAACUUCAACAAUUUCUUUAUUAAAUUUUUUAUUAUUGGGACAAAAAAUUCAAUAGAAUGGAGGGUUCAUAGACAAGCUAUGUGCCAAUAUAUAAUACGCCUAGUGUAGGAAGUUUUUUCUAUGGUCCUUUCAAGUUUUUUUUUUUGGAAAUUAAUUCUAAUUUAACUUUUUCUCUUUUUGCUUUUCAGAAGCCCAAUUCUAUCCUCAUUUAUAUGCAGUAUUAAAAGAUUCAAAAUCAAAAGAGUUGUGCCAGUUUGUUGGAAGGUUUGAAAAGCUGGCGUAGAAACUUUUCUGGGGUUCCAACUUAGCGCGGCUCAAAACCUCAGGCUGAGUGACCCUUUGAAAUGGGCCUUGCUUCUACUUGCUACAGGCGUGUUUGUAUUUGAAUAUUUUUAUUUAUUUAUUAUUAUUUGUUGGGAUGGAUUGCAAAAUAUCUCCCCACCCCCUUACGUUUGCUUAGCGUAAUUUGCACCCCAUUUCCAUGCACCUACCUAGGGGACUUUUGCAAUUAUUCCAGAUCGAGUCAUUAAAAAUAUUGUAAACAACAGAAGCAUCUCCCACAGUAGUAGGUUAGGUUCGUAUAUUAGGUACGCAGGCAAUUUUUAGAUUAUGGUAGGGGCGUCAUGCAAAUGCGAGCAACCUCAUGUCAUAUAAGUGACGAACUGACGAUUUAAUCUAGCCACCAGAAACCCGUCGGAUUGACUCAAACGCGCAGCAUCAUACCUUGACUUGUAAUGCCUCUCCAGUUGCUUGGCGGCGUUUAAUUUGUACAUUAAUUAAUCAGACACAUAAUUAACUCCAAGCGGUAUUAUUUAUAUAUAUUAGCCUAUGUACUAAUUCCUUCUUUGAUUUACUGAAGGAGCCACUUUACAUAGGAAGAGAAAGGCCAAGCAAUUAAUUAAGAACUGUACAGAGUUAGCUAGGAACUAAUCGAUGAUGUUUGCUAGCUAAUUUCUAAUUAAUUUGAUAUGCUCUUCUCCUUGGCAAUCCACAUGUAUGCACCAUCGAUUUCAAACUAAACGGCGGCCAUGACUAGCUGCAGCGCUUCCGAUCGCCAUUGGUUCUUCUUCCUCGCUAUGAACUCAUCGAACUUUCGAUUUAAUUCAUCUAAUUCUAGGUGCUCCAACUCAUCUUCUAUGCCGAAAGCUUCGAGCUCUGUCCUUUCUUUUCCAAUCGCGCCGUCCACUACGACUACCUCCAAUGUCGGAAUAUUCCCUCUUUCAACAGUUUUCAUCCGGCGGCCUUGCUGAGAUUUGUUAGAGUACUCUGGUCGCCACUCUAUAUGGUCUCCAAUCUCUGUCAGAAAAUCUCCAAAGAUGUCGAUAUUUGUUUUACUUUCUUGAUCUUUGGCUAAUUUUUUCUCCUCUGCAAAUGAGUCGACGGAGAUGGUGCUCUCUUGCUCUAAGGAGAUGACUUCUUCGACUUCGAGGGGGCUCGAUAUCCACAGCGAAUCGUCAUGAAGCUGUUCUGCCACCGCAGGCGCAUCUCCAACUUCGAUGGCAUUGGAAUCAGACGGUAGAUGUCCUUCUAGACUUGCCGAGUUAUCAUUGUGAAGUGUGCUCGCGAAUGAAUUAGAAUUAGAUGGACUAGAUAGAGUGAAGUCUACGACCAACAAAAUGAAGAUGAAGUUCGAGAAGAGAAAUAAGGCCUUCUUGUUGGCGAGGAGGCUUACGAGUUUGGCGCAAGAGAUGCUAACGGGGCAAAAAUAGCAACGUAGGCCUGGUAAAAAGUAGGAAACGAGUAAGAUGAUGAUGAUGAUGAUGAUGAAGAGAGGGAGGAGUGCAUGGAAAUUAUAAAGCCUUCCAUUGAUGGGCUUCGGAUUCGUUUUACAGGCUUUGAUCAUCAUGAGAUCUCGCCACUCUACCUGCUGCAUUGGGUCCAUCAACAAGAUACCAUGCAGUUGAAGGAGAAAGAGAAAUUAAGAAUGGUAUAUAUAUAUAUAUAUAUAUAGGGAAUUAAUGGAUUGACUUGGAUCCGCCAGUGAUAACAAAAGACACCACCUUCUACAUACAUAUAUAUAGAGGGGAUUGGGGGUGGCAUUUUGUGUUUCCUCCAAUCAGCUCCGCCGCAUCUAUAUAUUAUUUUAUGGCGCGCAUUUGUUCCAUACCUGAUCUUUUUGGAGAGAGCAAGUCCUUCGCGUCCGUUGAUCUAAAAAAAGGAUAAGACUGUAAUUUUGAUGACUUACUCCAUCGAUCGGCAUCACUCUAUUAUAUUAUGAGAUUGGAAACAUGACAUACUUAAUUUCAAAAUUAUCGCAUGAAUAUACUGUUCCAUUAAUUGUAUCUCAAAAACACUAUUAUAAAGACUUAAAAUCAAAUGUUGUUUUAUAAAAUAUAGCUUAGGAUCGAUAUUUAAACAACAGUAUAUCAAAAUUAUAAAUUCUGUAUAUCUAUAUUUUUCGAAUUAGACUACAGUUGCAUAGUUUACAACCGGUUGGCAAUGAAAUAUAGAUAGUCUAUGCUGAAUCAAUGAACGAUUCGAGAGAAAAAAAAAAAAAUAGAAAGGGUACGAAAGCAUUGCCCGUAUUUUAUUUUACAUGUAGCUAGCUCUGUCCCUACGCCUUCCAUUGUUUUCUCUUUUCACUCCCUCUCUUAUGCUCUCUAACAUUUAACUAUAAUUAGUUGACUUAUUAGCUUGUGUGUAAUCGGGGACAAGAGAAGGGCUUGUAAUCCAAAGGGCCGGUCAUCGCCGUAGACCUCGGGAGUGAGGAAAUAGCAUGGAAACUGCAAUAUACUGCCAUAGAAGGAGACCGGAGUCAUUACCAUUGCAUUAGUUUUAAUGAAGGAUGUUGUUUUAUUCGCAGGACAAGUUCUCCCCAUUUCAUCCUUGGAUAGUUGGAUCACAACGUUACUAUUCCCAAUUAAUAAAUUUAUCUUUUAAGCAUACUCAGCCGUAUACGUAGAUGAUGUAAGAGAUCUCGUAUGCAAAAUUUUCUUAAUGAAAGAAUUGCCGAGCAUGUAAACUCCUCCAUUAAUUUUACUUAUGUUUCUGCACAAAUCUGAUUAAAACUCUAGAUCAAUUUCCACAAGUGGUCACAAUAUGUUUUUGUUUUGGCACCUGUUGAAGCAGCACAGCCUAGCUUCAAUUAUAAGAAGAUGUAUUUUUUUUUUUUUUUAGAGAGAGAUAGGUAGCACGUUACCCGCUCUGUUUAUUUCAUUAAGAAAUAAACUUAGCUGGAAAUGUGAAUCAACUAAGAUUCGAACUUGGGGCCUCGGGUACCAACCCCCAAAUCUUUUACCACUUGCUCUAGAAACGGUCGGUAAUUAUAAGAAAAUGUUACUAUUAAUUAGGGCCUCUGUUGAUUUGAAUAGCAGGAUAAUUAAUAAUAUACAAAUUUGAGAGACAGGAGAAAAGACGAAUUGUGUGUCCCUAAGAGGGAGAUGUGUCACCCGAGAAGUAGAGACCUUACAUGUGCAGUACGCUGGCACUUGUUCAUUGUUACUGUUGGAUUUAAUCUGACCGAGGAGACAUUAAUGCUUUAUUAAGAUCAUAGGACCAACGGUUUGUAGGUGGGACCAGACACUGGCCAGAUCUAUGAUCUAGUAGUCUUAGUCCCCCAUCUUCCUAAGUAAAACCAAUUUGUAGGAAGGAACAAUGUACCUAUGUACACAGUGGUGAUUUCAUUCCUACUACGGGCUUUUUCUUUCUUUCUUUCUUUCUUUCUUUUUGAUGUAAAUCCCUAUUGCUGUUAAUUUGCAAGUUGUAAAGAAUGGAUUAGAUCUAAAUAUAGUUGCAUAGAGAGAGAAUUAUACAUAGAAUUGUUGGAAAUAUAGAGAGAAGUCCCAAAAAGAUCAUUAGUUCGUAAGAAUUUGAUCAGACGAGAAGACAUUUGAAAGAAAGGGAAAGUUGAAGAAUGUUGAGACGGGGGACCACUUAGUAGACUAAUAAAAAAAAAAAAAGACUAAAUAAGGACCCUUCCUAGUAAUUAAAUUUGUAGGAUUUUUUUUUAAUAAUUUAGUCACCAAUUUUUUUUUUUUUUUUUUUUUUUUUUUUUUUUGUUGGCAGAGAAGAACGAUUUUGAAAUUUACAGUACCGCAUCUGUGCGAAACUUGCCUGAUGAAUUAACUGGGCAAGAUAAAGCAAGAAAAAAAAUUGAAUGUUUUGUUUAGUGCUGAUAAUUGAUCUAUAUUGUGGAUCAGAAUGACGAGUGAAAUAACCGUGGAAUUGAGGGCUACAACCUGGCAUCAAAGCUCGCGCCGGCGUGUCACUCUGAGCCAAAAACUAGUCCGGUUCCACGACAUAAACUUUGCAAUCAAUCCAACUUAAAAUUCUCUCUCUCUCUCUCUCUCUCUCUCUCUCUCUUCGUUGAGGCAAAUCUUAUCAUUUUGGGCGCCUUACAAGUUACAAUCAUAAUUUAGUCCCAAAGAGUGAUUUGCACGGAAGGGGCCGGGCCGCCGGGGAUUCUCUUUAGUUUCAAAACCUACAAGUCCACCACAAUCCACGUGCAUUGUUUGUUAACAGAGCACCCUGUCCAGUAACACGUGGAUAUAUGUUCUGCCUCCUUAGCAUAGGCCCAGUAUCAGGCCCGCUUAUAUUGGCACUAUUAUGGUCGUGAUAUUCGGACCGGGGAAGGUGGUGGUGGUGGUGGUGGUGGUGGUACGAUACUGACGAUACUGUCUCACCGCACGCGUAUUGUAGUUGAGACGAGGGCUUGAGGCCCAUAAGAAGCCCAUGUAACAUAACUGCGGGCGAGGCCAGAGCAUCGUUGGGCCUUGGUAAUUAUGGCAUUGGACCUGGCAGACUAAUCGGGCCAAAACUACAAGCCACCCACGGCCCGAAUACACGAUCCAAUACAUUUUGAUUUACAAAAUCUUCCGUAAGAUCGGACGGCCGUAAUAAGAUCGUCCGAGCUCAAGGGGUUCCCACGUGGCAAGUGAUCGAGCACCACUCGACUUGGGAGUUGGGAGUAACGACCCAGGCGGGACGGGCCCACUCGAACGGGAUGUGGUAUUCCACGUCGGACGAUAACGUGGCAUUGCGCGGCGGGGUGCACCGCGGGUCCCACCGAAGCGACUCGGGCCCGACACGCACAUAAAAACGGGAUUGGAAUUCGACCCGGCGUCCGAGUCCGGACUAUAAAAUGUCUCCCUUCUACAUAUAAUCCCUUCGACUUCGAAGGGAAAAAGAGACGAGCGGUAGAAAAGUCUCUUUAGUGUUAUUUUUAUUUUUCUUUAAUAUUAUUAUUAUAUUCCAGUUACUCAGCGCGAGUUCGAAGAGGGAGAGGGAAGGCGAAAAAUCUCGGAUCCGAGUGCGCGCUUCUCCGAGCUCUCUUUAGGGUAACAAUUAAUCUCGAAUUACUGAGAAUUUUGUCCUUUGUUCACAAUUUUCGCCUCUUUUGAGUUUUCUUUCGAAAUUAGAUAUUUUUAGCUUUCUAGGGUUUUCAAAAUCUGUGCAAAAAUGAGUGGAUGCUUCAGUGGAUUCCGAUCUUAGGGUUUUGAUAAGCUUUUCGUGAUGCGACGCUGAGUCCUAUCUCUGAAAAUUGCACACUUUGUAUGUGGAUUUGUACUUUGAUCUUUUACUUCUACAUAUAACAUAUCCCUUUUCGAACUCAAAAACGUCUUUUUUCGUUUUAAAACAUGUUAUUCUUCUGCAACUCUGUUGACAAUAUUAUAAUGAAUUUGGUUUAUCCGCAUAGUUAGUAAUCUAGAUAUUUCCCUAUAAAUCUAAUAUGGUACAUCUCAGCUUAAUAACGAUUGUUAGUGUGUCUUUCCGCUGGGCAAUGCCAGGUUUUGUGUUGAGAAAGUGCAACCACAAAAACCAAGACUGGAAAAUUUUCACUUCCCUGUUGCUUGAUUACAAUCUGUGAUUAGUUGGGAUGUCGGAAGCAGAGCCAACUUCUGCGAUGGAGGAAACCCCGGCUGCAAAUGGCUCCGAUUCAACCCCCAAAGAUGCAGCUGCUGAUUCUGUUAGCGAAAAGAAGGAUAGCGAGCAAAAGAAAGAUGGUGUAACUGAGAAGGAUGGUGAGGAAAAGAAAGAUGGUGUAACUGAGAAGAAGGAUGGCGAGGAAAAGAAAAAUGGUGUAACCGAAAAGGAUAGUGAGGAAAAGAAAGAUUGUGUAACUGAGAAGGAAGAUGGUGAAAAGAUUAAGGACGAUAAAGUUAGCAAGGAUACUGAACAGAAGAUAAAAACGGACAAGAAAGGUGUAGAAACAGAAGAAGCUAACGACCUUAGAGAAGAGGGAAAAGGAACUAAGGAAGUUACCACGGUGGAAGCCGAGGUUGUGAAGACAGUGGAUGCUGAGAAUACAGAAACAGCAGGUGGUGAAGAUGUAAAAAUGGUUGAUACUGAGGAUGCAAAGGCUGCGGAUAAAGCGGAUGAUGUGAAAAUGGUUGAGACUGAGGAUGUGAAGGCUGAGGAUAAGGAAAAGGGGGGUGCAGAUGAUGUGAAAAUGGUUGAGACUGAGGAUGUCAAGGAUGAGGAUACGAAAAAGGUCGGUUUUGAUGAUGUGAAAAUGGUCGAUGCUGAACAUGUGAAGGAUGAGGAUGCUGAAAAGGUGCAUGCCGAUGAUGUGAAAACGGCUCAGGUUGAGGAUACAAAAGAUGAGGGGAAAGGUCAAGAGGAGAGGGAAGAAAAGGAAAAGGAAGAGGAAAAGGAGGAGGAAGAGGAAGAGGCCGAGGCAAUGGAAGAGAAAGAUGGUGGACAAACUGUGAACAAGGCAGAUUUGGAUGAGGCUGUGGUGGAAACACCAAAGAAGAAGAGAUCUAGGAGACAAAAAGUUAGUGAUAAGGAGAAGGGAAACAAUAAGAAGAAAGACGAGACAAAAUCCAAGGAAUUGAGUACUCCUGUCAUUUCUCCCAGUGGGCGCCCUGUGCGUGAGAGAAAAACGGUGGAAAGGUUGGUGGAGGUUAUUGAGAAGGAGCCAAAUAGGACAGUCGUAAUUGAGAAGGUGCUCUUCUUGAUUCCCUUUUUCCCCCGAUAUCCGUUAGUUGGUUUCUACUAAAUCAGUCUUUUCCUUGGUCUCUUAAAAUGUAGGGCCGUGGCACCCCUUUGAAGGAUAUACCAAAUGGUAUGCUUCUAUAUGCAUCUUGUGAUGACAAGUAUUUAGUUUUUCCCUUAUCAGAAGUUAAAUUACUAUCAGAUUGUGUAAGUGUAUGAUAAUUUGGCUUGAGCUUGUUUGGGUAACAUGAUGAGUCUCUAUAUAGUUUGUUCUGGUAACAUUUACCUCAACUGGUUCACUAUUUUGCUCUAGGCAAGCUCUCGUUUGAAUAUAUUGAAGUAGACCUUUGGAUGCGGAGAACUUUUCAUCUGAUUUUAAUCCAAUAACUUAGGUUAGAAAUUUGAUUUAACACCUGAAAGUAUUUGAAACAUCAACGUUGUAUCCCGUAUGUACUUGAAGAACUAAUAAAAUAUAUAAGUCAUUAUGAAUCAUCUAUUUAGGAUAGUUUGGAUUAACAUACUGAUCAUUCUUACAUGAUAUAUUCCUGUUUAAUGCGUUAUGCAAGUUCCUGGUGUUUAUUUGGUUAUUUAAAUCUCCCUUUUGUGUUGUGAUGAUUUAGAGUUUUUUUUUUGGGUAUUUUUUGACAUUGUAUUCCACUCACUUUGAUUUCCUGUUCCAGUGGCGUACAAAUUAGCAAGGAAGAAACCUACUGAACUUAAAUUGCUUCAUCAGACUCUUUUUGGGAGGAAAGGAAAGGUACUUUAAGAACAUCAUUAUGUUGUUUUUCUAAUUCUAUAUUUUAGUUAUAUGUUAUUUUCAAUCAGUUGAUGUUUGAUGUAUGUCAGAAUAAUUGCUCCUGUGAGUAUAAAGGUUGAUACUUGGGAAGUUGAAACUCUCUCAUUGAGAAACUGUGUAGGCAGUGUGGCAAGGGAUUGCCUCUUUUGGGGGAAAAAAAUGAAAAAAUUGGCAAAAAAUUCUGAAUCUGAGAAAGGCCUCUAAAACAUUUUUGCCCCUCAAUUGAUUUUUGAUGUUUUACCUUUUCAAUACUAAUUUUAUUUUGUGUAGAUGUGUGCUUUGCUAUUGCAAAUCCUGUAUUCAUUAUGUAUUUACUUUUAUUGCCUUUUCUUGGUAACAAGUUUGAGGUAAAAAUGGUUGUGCUUUGCUGGUUCACCUGUCAUUGUUAUGCCUCUUUCUCAGAAUAAGAUGAACCAGAGGUCUCUCUUUUCUAUUGUAAUUUGUAUAGUAUGAGUAGAAAUUGCUUGGCACUUUGAACAUGUGACGUGUGUAGAAGGAAUGGGAAUAUAUACUCGAACUCCACUGUAGUAUAGGUCCUUUUUGAUUUGGCCAUAUGGCUGAUCAUGAUAUUGGAGUACCACAUUGAUGCACAUAUAUUUAGGCAUCUUGAGAGAUUGGGGAAGGCACAAGGAUUGCAAAUUGAUUGGAGAUUAGUUCAGUUAACCUACUGCUGCCAUUCUUCAUUUAUAAAAACCAUCUGGAGAAUGAUAUAUGGAAAUUAUUUCUUGAGGUUUGUCAGUCCUCCUUUGAUUUAUUCUUAGGCCUUAGUGAAUGUCUGUGAGCUGUUACUUAUGCAACAUAAUUGGAAAAGGCCCUGAACCAUAAGUUCGAUAGUUAGUUUGUUUCACUAACAAAUAAGUAAGCUAAAUAGCUUCGCUUUGGCUUUGUUAUUUUUUCCCCUCCUAUGUCCCUCUUCUCAUAUUCCUUUUUAACUAUUGCAGUCACCAUCUAACUAAUUGAUUUGAUGUUUUGGUUGCAUUUUGGUUCUCCAAUAUUGAUAAUGCUGCUUCAUAAGUUUACUUUGGUGUUGAUAAAAUUCAGUUUCAUCAUUUUUACCUCUUCAACAUUGUCAUUUGAAUGAUAAUUCUUGCUUUUGUUAUCUCAGGCAGUCAAUUAUAAGAACCAUAUCCUCCAGUUCUCUGGAUUUGUUUGGCACGAGAGUGAUGUAAGAAGCUCUUUUAUACAAUCUUAGAUUAUCCAGUUACAUUUUUAGACUCCACACUCUUGAACUGAUAUCCAAGAGUUACUUUCAUGCAGGAGAAGCAACGAGCGAAGAUGAAGGAGAAACUUGAUAAAUAUGUGAAAGACACAUUGUUAGAUAUGUGUGACUUGUUUGAUAUUCCUGUUUCAAAAGCAAAUACUAGAAAGGUUGGUUAAACUUUGUGUCCUUAUCCAGCGUUAGUGCAGCUCUAGCCACAUUAUCCAUGCAAUGUGUAAUUUAUCCUGACACUUUGAAUUGUAGGAAGAUCUUGUGGCGAAGCUUUUGGACUUUAUUGUUGCACCUCAUGCUACUAGUGAUGUCAUACUUGCAGACAAGGAGCAGGUUGGCCCUUAAAUGCUAAUUAUCCUUCUCUUUUGCAUUCUAUUUCUAUUUGUAAAUGAUUUGUAUUGACAUCAGAUGCUGAAUGGUUCAAUUUUAUCUCUAAAUUUUAAACUUUCUUGAAAAUAAAAGGGUUUUGCUGAAGCAAAUAAGUAAAAUGAAUCCUUACUUUCCAUCGUAGAUGCUUGGGAAGUUCUUUCUUGCUUCUUUUGCUAAUGUAUCCUGUUGUUUCCUUUACUCCCUGUGGCAGGCAACAAAUUCUAGGAAACGCAGUAGAGGGAAAGGAAGUGCAUCAAAGAGCACAGAAGACACGCCAGCGAAGCGAUCUAGGAAGGUCUGUAUCAACUGGCAACCUUAAAAAUUUUGCUAGCUUUCCUUUUGAGUUACUCGAUUUAAUAAAAUUAUGCACUUUACUUCUUAACCAGAGUUUGCUCUCUCUAAUUUCUGCCGGUAUCUACACCUGCUAUCUGCUUUCUAGUUUACUUGAAGAGUCGCACUAACUAUUUUUGCCAAUAAAUUCCAACAUAUUUAUGAUAGAGUGGGGGCACUCCCGGUUCAAAAGGGAAGACUACCGAUGAAUCAGAAGGUGAAGGUGAAGGUGAAGAUGAAGAUGAGGAAGAGGAGGAAGAGGAUGAGGACGAGGAUAAUACUAAGGAAGAUGAAGAAGCUAAGCAUUCUGAAAGCGAUGAAAAGGAAGAUGAAUCUGAGGAAGAGUCUGAAGAGGAUGAAGCGGACAAUUCAGUAAAAGAUAAACGAGAUACAAAGAAAGCUUCAAGAAUGAGUGAUUCUUUAGAUUCAGCAAAGUUAAAGGGAGGAAGCAGCUCUAAGAAGGCACCACUCUCGAUUACCACGAAGAGCCCUAUUAAAACUGUAUCUUCUAAACGCUCUAAGGGUGAGGAAAGUGAUGACGUGGAUGAAAAGGUCUUUUCUCGCAAGAAGAAAAGCUCCGAUAUGCCAAAGAAGAUUUCAACCCCUGAAGUGGUGAAGGAGAAAAAGGGUUCCGGUAUGCCUACAAUUUUUUUUUUUUUUUCAAGUUGUUAGUUGAAGAGUUGUUCCCUUUUAAUAUAUGGUAUGGAUAUUUAAUGGAUGUCAUCGCUGUUGAUGUUUUGUUUCUAUCUAUUGGAUGAUUCUUGUAUUGUACUUGGGCAGUAAGGCUCAACGAGGUUUUCCUAGAAUUAUUAUUAUUUCUUUGCAUAUAACGUCUAUUGCAUAUUUCCCUGAAUUUAAGCAUGUGCACAACUAACCACUUUGACAGUCAACGUAACAAGUUAUUGGUUACGAUCUCUGGUGAUUGUAGUAUCUAAUUUUAUGUGAGUAUCUAAUCCUCUUCUGUGUUGAUUAUAGACCAUGUUGAGACUGACUUUGGUCUGAAACUUGGAUUUUGUUUAUCUAGGCAAGAAGGUUACGAGGGGCAAAGGAAAAUCAACAGAUGGAGAACAACCUGGUCCAAACAAGGAGGAAUUAAGGAAGACUAUUAAUGAAAUUCUCAAAGGAGUCGACUUUAACACGGUGAGUUACGCUAAUCCUGGUGGUUGUUGCUGCACUGCAAUGCCGUUUUGAUCUCCUUUUUUUUUCUCUCUGCGGCUUUUAAUUGUUACAUCUUAACUUCUACCUAGUUUUCUUGUUUUGAUAUUCAAUUAAUGAUGGCAUUGUAUAAUAUUGAGAAAUAUUUCUAUGUUUCAGGCUACGUUCUCUGACAUUCUUAAGAAGCUCGGUAAGCCUUCUAUAUUAUACUCUCUUUAUAACUUCAUUCUUGUUUUAUACUUAAAAAUUGAAAGCUCAUCUGGCAGCUGUUCAUUACAAAAUGGAUAUGGCAUCAAGAAAAGCAUCAAUAAAGCUAAUGAUCCAAGAAGAAUUAACAAAGUUGGCAGAGGAAGCAGAAGAAAAUGAAGACGAGGAUGAAGAAGAUGAAGAAGAGGAAGCUCCUGUGCGUAAGGGCAAAGAGGUGGAAGUUUGAUUGCCAAUGGGAGCUAAAUAGUGUGGAAUGGUGCAUCCCCUGUUUAAGUUAUUGUUGCCUGUCUUUAGGGGCAAGACCUAAUUAUCACAGGCUGUUGAACAGUUUAGCAAAACUUUUCUCUGUAACCUUGCUGUGCAUUUUGUAACAUUAUAUGUAGGCACUUAUUAUGCCGUAAAGUUUACUGACCCACAGAUGAUACUUCAGGUAUGCUUUUCCUUUUUCUCCCACAAGACAUGUAACUCUUGUUAUUAGAAGCUUAGAAACCUUUACCAGAUACUGUAUUUUAUUUGGAGAAGCGCCUUGUUUUCUUUGUUGCCAGUGACACAAUAAUGAGCUCCGGUUAUCUGAUUUGUCUCUUGAUAUGUGUUUGUUGAUGAAAAAUUUCAGUACAAGGAGGACGGGCUCGGCGUAUCAUUGUCUAUUUUGCUGUUUUAUGUUUGUUAGUCUUUGAUUCUUUGAAUAGCUGUUUACUUAAAUUUCAGCUCCUAGUGAGCUUGUGGUCUUAUUUUCCGGGUCUCAGAUGUGAAUACAGAGCCACACAUUUCUCUUGCCUUUGUUCAAGUAUGGGUUUCAGGAUAAGGCCGUCCACGCUAUUGCUAAUUUUUUUUUCUGAUGUCUUUUUAUUUGUUGGCGUUUUCUGACUGUUUUGGAGAGCAUUACGUUUGAUACAUGCCAUUUAAUUCUUACUAUUCUCUUCAGACGAUGUAUAGGACGUAGCAUAUAUGGGGUUUGUGUGUGUCGGAUUUAUUCCGGAGACAAGACUGAAGUAAGGUUAUUCUGCAUCUGAACACAGACUCUGGUGAGGAAGACACGCUUCUAAAUCUUAGUUGGUUUGUGUUUCCACCAAAACUUGUAUAAGUUUUUUUUUUCUUUGCAUGCCAGCAAUCUUUCAUCCUAAAAGUUUUACAAGGUACUGUAGCUUCAAGAUAACCUACGAAUUCAUUCAGCAGAUCGAUAUGUUAGAACAACCCUUCGACCUCCUAGAUGUUAGCGUUCUGUACAGAAUUAGCAUGACAAGAUUUCGCACCACACAACAAUCAAUAGAAAGCAAGAGAGAGAGACAAAUAAGUCUUUGUCUACAGCACACGAAAUGGUCCAACCAUGAAUAGCUGAUCUAGCAGUCCUUUUGAAAUAUAGUUGUCCUUUACGACAAUAAUGAUCUACCAAUGUUUUUGAAACCCUUGGUUCAGCCAUCUACCCGAGACGGCCAUAUCCCGAUCUCUUCAUAACCAUCUUCCGUUGCACAGGCCCUAAACAUGCCCGUAGUAUUAAAAAGCAUUGCUACUUCUCCCUCGGACGAUACUGCCACCAAGCCUACGUUUCCUUUUGGGACAUUUUCAAUCACAUGAGCUGCAGCUUCUUUAAGGGAAAGCCCUUUGUAUUCCAUUAGGGCAGCAACAUCCCUAGCAACAGUAGCUCGAAUAAUAUAUUCACCUUUGCCUGUGGCUGAAACCGCACAAAAGGGAUUAGCAUACGUCCCUGCACCUAUGAUUGGAGUGUCGCCAAUCCGGCCCACCAUCUUGUUUACCAGCCCACCAGUGGAGGUUGCUGCAGCUAAAUUUCCAUCACCAUCGACUGCUACACAUCCAACGGUUCCAAUUUGGCUGUCGCCUUUGAUGCAUGGUGCUUCUUGAUGUUGCUGCCCCUUAAUUGGCUGGGUGUAAUCAAUCUGCAAAAAUAAAUGCAUGAGCAGUAUUAACGCAUUAAAAAGAAAAUGAAACGGCUGCAAGAAUGGUUUCAGAUAUAAUGGCUGUCUACUGAUGAUGAUUCAUAAUCACAACUCAACGAUGAAUGUAGUGAGGGGGCUUCUACAGUUCUACUUGUAAGUUCACAUUACAUAAGCUAUUAAAACACCAAAGUAUUACUUAAACAAAAAAGUUGCUCGAUGCAUAUUCAGAGAAAUUGAGAAGUACACCUGAACCCUGUUGGCUUCUUUUGCUUGCUUUAGUCUUUCAAUAUUUUCUGGAGUGAUAAAGUGACUUGCAUCUACAAUUUCUACACCCUGAUGGGGAAGAAAACAAAAAACAUAAACAAUUAAUGGCAAUUAAGUAAUAUUCGAGAAACCAAUCCAUACAACCAUUUAUCAGACAACUAAGAACUAACCAAAAAAAUAAAAAUAGGAUGAUAACAAUGCAUACUUCUUAACUAGAUGGUUAUUACAUUAUAUUCUUUAACAAGGUUGAAGAAAGAAAUUAUUGAAUGUCAACAAAGGGCAAGUACAAAUCUGACAGUUAACUUCGCAAAAAAGGAAAAAAAAAAAAAAAAAAAACUGAUAGUUCACCAAUAAUCUAGGACUAUGCGAUAUAUGUAUGUAUGUAUUGUUUGUAUGUAGGAACUUAUGUAUCUACUACAUAUGGCUCCACGGUAUUAGAACGAAGUAAUGUAUCCUUGUGCGAAAACAAUGUUACGAGCACUACCUAGUCAAAUUCCUAGCUUAACAGUGCAAAUCUUCACCAUACAGGAAACACAAAAAUAAAAGGUGCGCGGAUAACACUAACUUGCUCCCUUGCAAAGGCCUCGGCCCCAUCGAAGGCCAAAUAAAUAUGCGGAGUUCUCUCCAUCACAAGUCGUGCAAGAGAUACGGGAUUGACAACAGUAGAGAGACCGGAUACAGCUCCACAUUUCUUAGUGUUACCAUCCAUAAUGCACGCUUCCAUCUCAACCGUACCAUCAGCGGUCAAAACAGAACCUCUACCAGCAUUGAAGUGGGGACAGUUUUCCAGUUCGCGAACCUGUAGCAAACAAAACAACAAUUUCAUAAGACAAGAGAAUUAAAAGUGAUCUAGCUUGACAUAGUAUCUUCUCUUCAAGCAAUGUUGAAGUAAGAAUAGUCGUCUUAGUAAUCACCGGACGGUCAUUAGAGAAUAGAGACUGAAACGCUAUGCGUCCUUCGAAUAAAGAAUACUAAACUUGCGAUGCAAGAAGAUGCAUGCAGCUAUUAGAUCCUUUUGAGAAAAGAAGUGGUCUUUGAAUUUAUUCAGCUCCUUGUAGGCCAACAUAUAUCAAUCUACAUAUAAAAAUGCAGGUUAGAGCGGGCCCGGUUUCCUCCAUAAAGCAGUUGCAACUACCGUGGGAGCAGAGUGAAUACAUGAACAGUUGCUACUGCACUUCACCUUAAGCAGAAAACAGACCACCACCCCGGUCAGGAUUGCGCCUUUAAGCAUAGAGAGCCGACAAAUUAAGAAUUUCUUGAAACAUCGCGUGAGCAUCUACAAACAGAGACCGCGUGGCCUCUUGACAAGGGAAUUAGACAUGCGAAUCAGAUAGACAUCAGACAUAUCCUCCGCACUAUGGAAUAGGCCGCUACAGUGGAAUCAAUAGUGUACAUCUUUAAAUUGUAAGAAUGUAUAUUUGUUUUGUUCUCUACUUCGGAAAUACAAGGGCCUUUUCUUUUUUUCUCUUCUUUCCUUUUCUUUUCUUUUCUUCUUUGGUGGGUGUGCGUCGCGAGUCGCGAUUUUGAGUGAGGCAGAUACCUGCUGUUUCCAGAAGUUUGAAACGUCUAACACAACAGUUGAUUGCUAUGAGCGAAUAACUAAUUGUCGUACGAAAUAGAAUAGAACAGGAGGCCCCAAACGAGGACAGAAGCGAAGAGAAACUCGUACGUAGACGGACGGGGGGGAGGGGUGUGAAUGGGGAUGGGGAUGGGGAUGGGGGGGAUUACCACAAGCUCGACGACGUCGAGAGGGGGCCUGCGGGCCCUGAGGGCGGCGGCGCCGAGGUCGAGGCAGCGGCGGAGGGUGGCCUCGCGCGGCGCCCUCCUCUCCGGGGGCAGCGUCAGCGGGAUGUCGCCCGCCCCGCCGUGGAGAGCGAUCGCCCAUCCCCCCAUCGCCCUCUAAAUCGUCGAACUCUCUCUCUCUCUCUCUCUCUAGAUCUCCCUCCACCGUCCUCCUCCUCCUCCUCCUCCUCCUCCUAGAUUGGUGAUAGUAAAUAACAAGCUGACGAAAGGAACGGCAGGGUGGUGGACCUGCUACCCUCACCCACCGGCCGCUCCCGACGCCGGGGGAAAAGGCGAAGAAUCUGAAUCUUUCGGGCCCCUCGCCUCUCACACUGAAUCGUUGACCCCCGCUUCUUGGCCGGUCCCAGCGCUGCCUCGUUACAAACCCUACAUACUGGGCUCUGUCGAUAUCGGGACCGGGCCUUCCUCUUGUUGAUGGGCUCUGGGAAAUUAGCAUUUGUCCAAAAUUUGCGCCGCCUGAAAAAUUCUGCUACUAGAAAAAAUAAUUAUGCUGGGCCGUGAAUCGACCGUGGAGCUCAAAUUGGAUGGGCUCAUUUGUCCCCAUCCUUCCUUCCCGUGUGCACGGCUCUCAAAUAUUACGAAAUUGCGCCGCAUAGCAGUCGCAUUAUUUCAAACAAAUAAAAUUUUGAAGAUCAAAUUAAUUAAGAAUAAUAUGAUGAUCAUAUUUAGAAACGAUUAAUCAGCAAUAACAAGUUCUUUAUUUUAAUCAAACAAAUAUAUACCUACCUAAUAAUAUGGGCAUUGAAUUAAUAAUUACAAGUUCUUUAUUUGUUUUCCAAUUGGAUUUACACUACAAAAAGUAUCUUCUUUUUUUUUUUUUUUGAGAAAUAGAUAGCACACUACCCGCUUCAUUCAUUGUAAGAAUGAAUUAGACUACAUGAGCAAGGCAAAUCGAAGGGGCGGAAAAAAAAAAAAAAAAAAAAAAAAAAAAAAAACUACAAUCUGUCAGACAAAACUGGUCCAAAACUUCGUCAGCUGUUUAAUCUUGUGGACUGUUAAUCUGUCGCACAAAAGUACCCUUAAUUUUAAUCACACACACACACACACACACACAACACAUAUUAUAUAUAUAUAAUUAUAUAUAUAUAUAUAUAUAUAUAUAUAUAUAUAUAUAUAGCUCAAUUUAUGGUCUUAUAUAUUUAUUUGUGGCGGGCUACUACAUAAUCUCAAGUCUAAUUAAUAUAAUAAUAACGGGCGUCGUUGCCCCCAAGGUACGUUCUCCCCUGCGUUAUGAAACGCCUUACAUUAAUUUCACCGAUAUUAAUUGUGGGUUCAAUCUGUGCGAUCACAGAAAAACUGGUCUGAGCGAGGUUUACGUUAAUUGAUGAGACAAAAUGGUAUGUAACUGCUUUAUAUAAUUAAAAUAGAAAACACAACGAAGAGAAACCAACAAAAGCAAUUAUCUUGAUUGUUACCUAGUUUAUAUAGAAACCAGCUAGGCUUUCACGGAGGGAGAUAAUAUUUAAUAACCUCGAUGGUGAUCGGGAAGUCCGAAUAAACACCAACAUGUAUCUGUUUGGUUUAGCUGACGCUUAAUUAGAUAAAACUUUUGUAUUGAAUGAAGUUUCUUUAAAAAGCAGUGGUAAAAGUUUUGAAAGCAAAUUCCAUCAAAUUAAUCUCGAGGGGUAUACCUGUUUUCUUCCAAAGGAAAAAAAAAGAAAAAGAAAAAAGAAAAGUAAAUUCAAUCAAUAAUUUUUCUUUGUAAGACAAGUAAAAGUUUCAAAUUGAAAAUUUAUAUUUUUUUCGACUAGUUACGAUUAAAUUUAAUUGAACUUGUUUUAUUUGCUAAACAUUUUGUCACUGUUUCUCUUCGCCUAGGAGAUCCGAGACAAAGAAACCCGGACCACGCAGAGUAGCUAGAGAUCCCACCCUACUACGUACAGUGACCUUCGCUUAUUAUGCAUUCUACAAUCCCACGCACGGUGUGGAAUAUAUGGAAUCAUCAAACGAAAGAGAGAUAUAGCAUCUCACGGUAGUAUCAAGUAGUAGUUUUUGAAAACAAUAAUUAAAACCAAUAAAAUACAUAUAUAUUUGAAGCCAUUAAUCUAACCCAUCGCUCUCAAAUGUGGUAGCACGCUGAAACUAAACAUAUAUACUGCACGGCACGCACGCACCAAUCCCUCUCGUCCACCAGAACAACCGAGCAAUUUGAGUACUACGUACGUAAGCCUAUAUCUCUCCGAUCUCUAUAUAAACCCAUAUACGACCCCUUGUUUAAGCGUGCAUACAUAGAUUCAACUUCUUUCUCAUCAUCACCUCAUUUUGUGAACAAUCCUAGCUAGCUAGUAAUUAGUCAUGAUGGCUUUUUGCAUGAUCAAAAGCCUUUGCAUGGCUUUGCUUAUUCUAUCUAUAUGGACUUCUUACGCCUCGGCUUCUCGAGAGCUUGGCGAGAUGUCGGUGUUAGAGAGGCACGAGAAGUGGAUGGCUCAGUACGGCCGUGCGUACAAAGAUGCUGCAGAGAAAAGGCAGCGAUUUGAGAUAUUUAAAUCCAAUUUUGAGUUGAUUCAAACGUUCAACGCAGAAACCCACAAGUUCAAGCUUGGGUUAAACCAAUUUGCUGAUCUGACCAAUGAUGAAUUCAAGGCCAUGUAUCAUGGCUUCAAGCGGAAGUCGGGUGCGGCGAUGAGCACAACAAAGCGGUUCAAGUAUGAAAAUGUUACUGCAGUACAGCCUGUGAGCAUGGAUUGGAGGACUAAAGGUGCGGUUACUCCUGUCAAGGAUCAAGGACAAUGCGGUGAGAGCCUUUAAUUACUUUGUUAUUUUUACUUCUCUUAUUCUUGAGAGUUGAGAUUAAUCAGGUCUUCUACACAUCUAUCCCUCCAUCUUAAACUCGAAUCUUUUACUGCAUAAAUUCACCAUUUCUAAUUACCAUUGUGAUGCUAAUUAAUGGUUUUGGCAGUGCGCUGAGCUACUAAUUGAAAUUCACCGCAACAAUAUACAUAUAUCAAGUAUUCAUACCACCCUCAAGAAAUAUAUCAAGUAUAUCACAUGCAUGCUGCUUUUGCUCUAUUGAUUUUAUAUGAAUUUGCGCUUGAAAAGUAGACGAGCACGUACAUGCAUGUAGUUAGAAAUAUAUGUCUUACAUAUUUCCACACAUAAACCCAUAUAUAAGGUAAAGAUCUAAUAGUACGGCCGGGUGUAGCCCACCAUAAUAAUAUGCAAUUGGGUGGGCAUAUAUAUAUAUAUAUAUAUAUAUAUAUAUAUAUAUAUAUAUAUAUAUAUAUAUAAAACCUUUAUUCCUGCAUGGUUAUUGAUGAGCACGCUUAUUAAUCUGCUAGUACGUACCUACAACCAAAAUAUAUAGGAUGUUGCUGGGCAUUCUCCGCAGUAGCUGCGACCGAGGGAAUCACGAAGCUCUCCACCGGUAAGCUAAUCUCCUUAUCAGAGCAAGAGCUUGUGGAUUGCGAUGUGAAUGGCGAGGACCAAGGAUGCGACGGCGGGCUAAUGGACUCGGCUUUCGACUUCAUCGUCAAGAACCGGGGUCUAACCACGGAAGCCAACUACCCCUACAAGGGGGCAGAUGGUGCGUGCAACACCGGGAAGGCUGGCUCGGCCGCCGCCUCGAUCUCAGGCUACGAAGAUGUGCCUGCAAACGACGAGGCCGCUCUUCUCAAGGCCGUGGCCAACCAACCGGUGUCGGUGGCCAUAGACGCCGGCGGGAAUGCCUUCCAGCUGUACAAGGAAGGCGUGUUUACCGGCUACUGUGGGACCGAUCUGGACCACGGGGUCACUGCAGUGGGAUAUGGCGUGGCGAGUGACGGGACCAAAUAUUGGCUGAUUAAGAAUUCGUGGGGCUCCUCGUGGGGUGAGAGCGGAUACAUAAGGAUGGAAAGAGAUGUGAAUUCUGAGGAAGGGCUCUGCGGUAUUGCCAUGCAGGCUUCCUAUCCUACUGCUUGAGCAAAAAUGGAAUAUAUUUACACACACGACGUGUACAAAUUAAUAAGAGCAAACAAUUAAUGUGUGCAUAUUAUAUAUAUAUAUAUAUAUAUAUAUAUAUCGGUUUAAGGCUCAUGGGGGUAGUACUAAUUAAGUCAUUACGAACUUUCUAUGUAUAAGAUGUUACUAUGAAGUACCUCUAAAUUAAUGUGUGAAAUAUGUAAGUUAUUUACAUGAAUAAGAUGUUUCUAUGAAGUUUCUCUAAAUUAAUGUAUAAAAUAUCAAGUUACUUACAUGUAUAAAUAAGUAGAGAAUUUGUUUACUGUCUAAAUAUAGAUGACGUACACCACCUGAUGAACUUGUAUAUAUGUUGAUAUGUUCGAGUGGUUUAGGAGACAGACUCGAAAUCUAUUUGGUUUUGCCUGCGCAGGUUCAAAUCCUAUCGUCAACGAUUUUAUACAAUUUUUUCCCUUUUUUUAAUCUAUCAAUUCUUCGUUGAUGAUCAUUUCCAGCUGUCAAAGACUUAAUAUUUCUUUUCUUAUAUUUUCGCAAAAUAACAAAAUUAAAUUUUAUAAUCAAUUUAUAUAUAUUUUAUCAUUCUAUAGUAUAGUAUAAAUUGUAAAUGUGCUUCACCACAUAAAGCAUUGUUAAAGUUUUCUCUUUUUUUUUUAUUUUUUAUCUACUAGUUCUUAGUUGAUGAUAUUUUUUAACACUAUCUCCCAGAAUUAGCUGCUUUGUCUGCAAACCAAAAUACGAAGAAAAAAGUUGUCGUCUAUCUUCCUUUAAUCACAAAUCUAUUUCUUCCCCAAUAUAAGAUGGAGUUGGGGAGAAGGUAUGAAAUUUGAUUUGUAAAUCGCUCGAUGAACUAGUUAAUUAAUUCCACCUUGCACCAGCAACUAAGUUGCGCCAGAUUGAUAUAAAUUCACUUUGUUCUUUUGUCCUUCAACAUGUGGGUACUUCACCUAGUGUUGGAGGGCGAAUAUAUAAAUAAACUACAACAAAUAUAUUUAACACUGGAAUACCAAACUUUAUUAAUAUUACUAAACUUCAGUACACUAUUACUGAAUAAUACAAUUUGAUCCACACAUCACAACUCUACAAACAAAUUACAUGCCCCUUAUUUAUAGAGCAUGAAAAGAUACAACUCUUCACGAAACGACUCAACUCUUCACCAAACAACACAACAUUUCACAAAAGGACAUGACCCUAAACCAAAAGACGCAACCCUUACAAAAGGACACACCUUUUUAUAAGAAACACAACUCUUCAAAUAAAAAUAAACAAAUAGAACAAGCUUAUAACUAACAUUCCCCCUUAAGCUUGUUUAUGCAAAACUGUCGACAUCUUCUUCGAUCGGGUCUUCAUAAUCUUGGAGUCUUUCCUGUAAGACUAUCUUGUCUGAAAUCAAACUCCUAAUUUUAGAGGCCUGCUCAUUGAUUACGUUCUCCAGGGAUUUAUUCUCCAAAUUCACUGCCAUAUUUUCUUUUUCCAAAUUUUUUGCAAGUUUCUCUAAAUACAAAUUUCUUUGAUCAAGAGAUACCAUACCUAUGGUACUCAUAAAAGCAAAGUGAGCCACAUCUUGUUCUGCAUCCUUCUUUGAUCUUUUUACAUCGCCCAUAUAAGUAGAAUUUCCGAAUUCGACAAAUGAAUAAAAUUCUGGAAUGUGAAUAGGUCCUUCUUGAUAAGUGCGAUAUUGUGGCAGUGGCAUCUUCAUUUUCUGACAGUAUUCUUGAAGUAGAUUUUUGUAGGACACUCUUACUAUCACUUUAUUCUCCAUGUUUCACUUUCCUUUAAUGUUAAGUUGCUCUAAAAAAAAAAAAUCAACUAUUCAUUCACUAUUUAUAGGUAUGAAAAACUUUCAAAAAACCAAAUGACACAUCUCUUUGAAGUGUCCCAAUUCAAGAGACAACCUUUUAAUUUGAAAUAUUCUUUUUUAAACAAAGAGACAUGUCUUUUCAAAAAAUAAUUAUGUUAACUACUUUAUGCAUUGGUCAACAAGUCCACACCAUAUUGCUUUUUAAAGUGAUUGUUGCUAGCAAUUGGCUUAGUUGCCGGCAUCGUAAUCUCCUCUGAUGGUCCUUCACUAUCGAAUGCACCUCUGUCUAUUAACUGUUUUUGGUUUUUUUUUUUGUUUUUGAUCCAUUGAAAACCGAAUCCAACAACAGCACGUCAUCUGACAUUUUCAGUAUAUUCUCUGGCCCUGUUCGAUUUGUAAUUUCAGGGUUUUCAUCACUCAAGCAUGGUUGCUUACCCUUAGGAGCACAGUUAUUUUUUUCUUCCCUAUCUGUUCUUCUUUUUUGUCUCACUAUUUUCUGGAGCUUCCUGCUUGGCUCCAACUCAACGUCUGCAUCAUUACAAGGGAUAGUAUUUUUCAGUCUUUUCCUUCCCAACGAAGUUACCACUGUUUGUAUACUUCUAUCAUUUUCAGCUAAAGAUGAUUGAAUUUCCUUCUUUUCCUCCCUCACUUUGUGCAACAACUCCCUUUGCUCCUGCAGCUUUUUCCUUUGAAUAUUAAGCAAUUCAAUGGAGCUUUUGAUUUCAGAUAAUUCUCUCUCCCUCUGUUCGCGAUCAAGAGCAAUCUGCUUUCUCUCACUAGCGAGCAUCUCCAACUGCGAUGCUAUAUGUUCUAGCUGCAUUUUAAUCAUAUCCUUUUGGGAAGUUAUAUACUGAAGUUCUUUAGCUUUCUUUUGCUCAAAUUCUUCCUCUUUAUCUCUUAAAGAAGUCUCAAUUUCCGCCGCUCUUUGAUUAAUAGAAUUCUGUAUUUCUUUCCUCUGAAUUUCAAUAUCCCUUUUAAAUUCUUCUCUUUCUUGUUGAAUCUUAUUCAACCAAUUUGCUUGUUUAUUCUGCAAGUUAGUCAUAAAUUCUUCACCAUUUUUUGAUGUAAACAUAAUUUUUCUGUUUUCUUUAACAGGUACUUUGGAUGAAUCAUCAAACUUCACAUUGCCAUCAACAUUUUCAUCCAUUUCAACAAAUAGUUCUCUACUUCCACACAUAUGAUUUGAAGCACCAGAAUCCAGAAACCAUAUAUAUUCUGGAUCUUUAACUUCAGCUUGACAUGCAAGUAACAAUGAUGUUUCUGCAACUUCAUCUUCUAUUGUACUGUCGAUGUAGUGAUUUACUCCUUCAGUGUCCUUAUACCAGCAAUCUUUGCUGUAGUGACUAUAUUUUUUACAAUUAUAGCAUUGUAUAUUUGAUUUUGCACCACCAUAAGAUCCUGGGCGAUUGUUAUUUCGUCCGCCUCUUUUUGGUCCAUAUUCAUGUCGUGAAUAGCGACCACUGUUGUUCCUAUUCUGUCGGUCAUUGUGAUAUCUCUUUUGAUUCUUAUAUCUAUUAUAAUUAUUUUCUCCAUGAUUUUUGCCUUUUCUAUUAUCAAGUUUCAAUUUUGACUUGAGAGCCUACUCAGUCGACUCUUCUUCAGACAUCUUUUGUAGUCUUUGCUCAUGCACUUGGAGCGAUCCUGUCAAUUGGUCGAUAGAAAGAGUACUGAUAUCUUUUGACUCUUCUAUGGCGACAACAAUAUACUCAAACUUUGAUGUGAGGGAACGAAGAACCUUUUCUACAACUCGUUCAUCAUUUAGUUCUUCUCCAUUUCGCUUCAUUUGGUUGGCAAUUACCAAAAUGCGAGAAACAUAGUCCGCGACACUUUCGGACUCCUUCAUUCGGAUUGCUUCGCAUUCCGCUCGAAGCUUUUGUAGACGAAUCCGCUUUACUUUGUCAUCUCCUGUAAAGACGGUGGUAAGAAUAUCCCAUGCUGCUUUGCUCGAAGUUGCUUCGGCAAUUUUCUCAAACGUCGACUCGUCUACUGCUUGGUAAAGAUAGAAGAGCACCUUUUUAUCCUUCUUUCUUAAAUCCUUCAAAUCGUUUCGUCGUGCUAUAAUUAAUGCAGCUUCUUCUUGCUCUGUGUAUUCCUGGUAUCCAGUUUUAACUAAUUCCCAAAGGUCUAGAGAACCGAGAAGUGCUUUCAUUUGAAUACACCAAUUCUCAUAAUUAUCUUUUACUAAUUUUGGGAUUUGAGUUUGGAGAAGUUGUGUGGCCAUUUUUUUAACAAAGUUUCGUUCUGUCUCUGAUACCAAUUGUUGGAGGGCGAAUAUAUAAAUAAACUACAACAAAUAUAUUUAACACUAAAAUACCAAACUUUAUUAAUAUUACUAAACUUCAGUACACUAUUACUGAAUAAUACAAUUUGAUCCACACAUCACAACUCUACAAACAAAUUACAUGCCCUCUAUUUAUAGAGCAUGAAAAAAUACAACUCUUCACGAAACGACUCAACUCUUCACCAAACAACACAACAUUUCACAAAAGGACAUGACCCUAAACCAAAAGACGCAACCCUUACAAAAGGACACACCUUUUCAUAAGAAACACAACUCUUCAAAUAAAAAUAAACAAAUAGAACAAGCUUAUAACUAACACCUAGUACAUGAAGAAGCUGCACAUCCAUGUGCUGACUCUGCUGAUUGUUUACGGAAACAAAAAUCUAGGUAAGAGAGAGAGAGAGAGAGAGAGAGAAAGAAAGAAAGAAAGAGAGAGAAAGAUCGAGCUUAGAAUUAAAAGGGACUGGUACCAAAUCUAAUAUGCCCGUACAACAAAGAUUUACUGAAACCUCACAUGAUAAAAUAUUCCACGCUCUAUAUCUCCUUCCUAUUAAGACAAUCUGAGGCGUCAAUGACUCAUAGCAUGUAAUUAUAAAACAGCACAUAUUUUUUGAAAUUAGUAAAAUUUUGUAACCAGUGUAUUACAGUGGUUAAUUAAAAUGGACUCCGGUGAGUUCGACUACUAGCGGAAUAUUAAUUGGGCAGUUUUGGGAAGAUUAAAAUAAUUUCUUUGGAUUGCUGAGUGGAAGUGAUACAUGGAUGAUGAACCUCAACUUUAAUGAAAGAGAAAAAAGGGCGCUUAACUAUCAGGAAUACGCAUCAAAUUUGCAUCUUUCAUUAAAGUUUGAAUCAAUCCAUUUUUGGCUCUGUAGUGCGGAAAAAAGAACAUUAAUUCUAAACAAUGAAUGAAAAGAACAUACAUUAUAUAUUUAAAAAUAAAUAAAAGAAAAGAACUUGCUCCAUAAACUUGCUUACUUUGUCCUUCGCCUAGUCACAAUUGUUUUUUUUUUUUUUUGAGGAAAAGAUAUAUAGCACACUACCCGCUUCAUUCAUUUUGAAAAUAAAAUUAGCUACAAACAGUGAGGCAACAUGACCUCGAAAAGAACACAAAUAACUUAAAAAAAAUAAGAGAAAAAAAUAACAACAAAAAUAAUCGACAAGUAACUCAGCUCAACAAAAGUCCCUCCACUCUCUUAUCGACUCCUCAAUACGCCCGACUACGAAGAGAGGGUCAGCAUAGUAGUUUUUAAAAAUUGCAUUAUUUCUUUCCUUCCAGACUAACCACCAGCACGCUGCUACGAUAAUCAGAUCCUACAGAAUCUCUCCCGACCUAGUCACAAUUGUUAGCCACACGCGUGCUACUCGACUGUGUUCACUAAAUUUUAAAAUAGCAAAACAAAAAAAAAUACUUUGCUGGCUGGAAAGUAAAAGCAUAAAAAAGAUAUGUUGAAGAUCAUAUGUGGAAAGUUGAUCCAACUAAGUUUUCACUAUUGUGUAAUUAAUCUCAAAUGCCGGUCAUAAAAUGGCAAACAAGGAUAGGGAUGCUGAUUGGACAGGUUUCUAUUCAGUUCAAAACUGAAACAAGAUUCUUCAAUCGAAGAAGAAAAAAAAAAAAAGAUCACAACUCAGUCAACUUAAAAAACGCAAAUCAUAAAUAACUAUAUCUGCUGAAAAUUUGAGAACACAAAUCAUCCUAAAUCUUAACAAGCAGAAUAAUAUUUCAAAAUCAUGCUAUAUUGAGAACUAAUAACUUAGAAGGUGUCAUGAUUAGUAACUCAGUCUUAGAUCCUCUUUCCCAAAUAAAUCUAGUGCUCGAGGAGGAUAUAUGUUAUGCUAAAGAGGAUGUAUGUGCCUACAAAUGCACAUCAAUAUUUGAGUGUCUGAUUUUGAAUUCGAAUUUGCUUAUUAAAAAGCUGCAAAAACGAGAGUCGGAAUUUAAACCUCUACGCAUUUCAAUAUGUUUGAUCGGGGAAGCCAUCUAUACCUAUACAUUAUACCUUUUAAAUUUGUCACAUGACAACAUGUUCGUCAUUGUUGAGUGUGGGCUCUAACUAGAAUCGGCUCAGAUUCUCUAUAUAUUUUUUUCUUUCUUUGCUUGAAUUGGACCGAAUUUUUUUUUUCUUUACUUAAACCAAAUUGAUUAUUGUCAAGUGUGGGCUCUCCCGAACAACCUCAAAUCUUCUACAUGUUUUUCUUUUUCUUUGCUUGAAAUGAACCUGAUUUUUUUCUUUCUUUAUUUGAAUUGAACUAGGUCAACCUCUUUUUUUUGGCUUGAACCGAACCGGGUCACAUCUCUGCAUUAUAAGCCGAAUUGUUCUUCUUUCUCUUUCUUCAGUUUUCUUCAUCGGCAAAAUAAAUUUCACCCUUUAUCGUUGUUUCUUUCAUUACCGUUUACUCUUCGUUUAUCAUCGUUUUUUUAUUUUAACUGUAAUUUUCUAUCCGUCGCAUCGCACGAGGCACUGUAGUAAUCUUUGCAUGAUUUUGUUUGGGCAAACCCAAUUCAACUUCAAUUUCCACACACAAUAUUGACCCCUGCCGAUCCCAAGUGUGGGUUUGACCCGAGUGGGGCGACUCGGGAGCAAUAAUUGAGGACGCUGACGUCGGCAGGAUAUGGUUUCCGUGAUAUCAUUGGUGACAACAUGGGGCGCACACACUGUAAUAAGAAAUAAGAAUAAAACAAAUAAAAGCCGGCCACGUACUCCGACCCACCGUGUACGAGGUGGGGGCCCAUGCGGCCCAACAGCCAAGAUUCCGGCAUUUGUUUCAGAUGUUGUGUAAGUGUCGCAACGCGACGCCCUGCAUAUGGCGCCGCGACUGUAGUACGAUGCUCGCCGACGUCCUGCCUAAAGUGUGGUCUCGCAUUAACGCAUUGGCGAAUCUCGGCCCCGACAUUUCUACUAAAGCAAUCGGUUCAUUGAUCGCGGCCUUUACCAGCACCUCUUCUUGUGCUGCGCGAUAAAAAAAAAACAUGAAGGCGAUCAUUUAAUAUUGUUUUCGUUUAACCAACCGUCCCUAGAGCAAGUGGCAAAGAGUUUGGUGGUUGAUAUCCGAGACACAAGUUCGAAUCCUAGUUGAUUCAUAUUUUCAGCUAAGUUUAUUUCUAAAUGAAAUAAACGAAGCGGGUAGCGUGCUACCUAUCUCUCAAAAAAAAAAAAAAAACUAUUAUUUUCGUUUAAAGCAGAUAGUAAUUGGUACCCUACUAUGAUAAAUUUUGAAUUUGAAUACUACAUGAUAUAGUAUGUGGAAAUGCCUACGUGCAUGGUCACUUAUUACAAUCUCCAGGAACACGCACACACACACACGCACACAUUGGGAACACACACACAUUGGGUUCGUUGAACUUUCUUUUUAAACUUUCUAAUUAAUGCCAAGCUAGGUGCAACCAUGCAUCAUUACCGGGCUAAUUAAUCUUAGUUGUUUAUUAACUAUAGGGUAAUUGACUGAUCAAACAGAAAAGUGACGGAGCACAGUCCAUUUUUAUAUUAACAAACUUCAAAAGAGUUAUAUAUAUAUAUAUAUAUAUAUAUAGGUGUUUUUUUUUUCUUUUUUUUUCGCUUUUCGCUUAUUCGCCGUUCUCGAGGCCCUGCUGUCUCACCCAUGUAGCUUAGUUCAUCGUCUAUGUUAAAUUUUAAUUUAUAUUUGUAGUUAUCUAAAUUGAGGAUAAAUCCUAAUCUAAUUAGGAUUAGAUAUUAUUUAGAUUUAAUUUGACAUAUAUGGAUUAUAAUUAGGAGUGUAAUUCUAAUCUAAUUAGAAUUAGACUCUAAUUAGGAGAUAUGUAUUAUAUAUACAUGCUACGGCCAAGUUAAUGAAGCCGCGACAAAAUUAAGAACCAUAAAAAUUAAUUUAGUUGUUGGUGGUUCGUGCUCUAAUUAAAGGCAAGCUCUAAUAAUGCCGCAAUGUUAAUUAGACCCAAGUCUAAUUAAUUAAGCCAAGCCAUUCAUGUUCCGUACGGUGAGGCAUGGAUCCGCGGAGACUUUAAUUAACGCCACUUUGGAGUCCGUACGGGUUGAGGAGCCAACACACUUUUGGAGUUGCUUGUUACGGCGUUUCGGAUCUAAUUAAGUUUUGAUCUUUUGAGAGAUUUUCUUGUACUCCGUCUUUUCGACAUUAAUAAAUUAUUUGCUCCGUUUUCGCCCGUGGACGUAGGCCGUUGGCCGAACCACGUAAAUAUCGGUGUGUUCUUUCCUUAUCUUUUCUUUUCUUGCAUUAAAUUAUUUUCUGGAUCUAUUUUUUCGCCGUUCCGAUUUUAACAGUCUAAUUGAAUGAAGCGGGUAGCGUGCUACCUUUUUCUAAAAAAGAAACAAAUUCUUGUUUUCUUCGUGUGCGUUCAUUGUAAUAGAAGAAUGAUCUCUUAGGAGGCGAGCAUAACUAUAAAUAUCAAAUGUUAAAUGCUAAAGAUCAUGUUCCCACUUGAUGUCAUGAUAACUUAAAACUUUAAACUAAUUAUGAGCUAACACGUUGGAAGUGUGCGAAUUAUUGUUGUCCAAAUAGAUUCACCAUGAGCGAAGGAUGAUACCAUGCUCCUAAACAACUACAGAGGUGCAGGAGGCUCCACACACUUUAUAAUUUAUGGACACCUGGCAACUAUUAUCACAUUUUAUCAAUAGGAUGAGACUUACCUAACAUAUUAUUUAUUGAUAAUUAAGAGAAUAGACUAUUGCAGGUUUGAAUAUUAAUUAAGAAUUUUUCGAUCCCUCUUUUUUUUUAUUCGUUAAAUAUCGCAUCAGCCCAUUAGCUUACACUCCAACUAAGUGGGCAGCAUUAUGCUCGACCAAUGGAAAGAAAAGCUUGAGACGAGCGUUGAUAUUUUGUCUCGUCUCACUGCUUAUUAUAUAUUUAGAUUAGUAUUACUCUGCUUGCUUCAUUUCCCACAAGUUGGCCUGACUCAUUAGUGCAUCAAUAAAGAAAUAUAAGAGGAGGGGUCAAUUUAUUGUAUUAUUUAGUUUGUACCAUAUAUUCGUGCCGUAAUCAAAUAAGCAAAUUUAUUUUUAAUUUGGAUUCUUCGGCAUAGUUAGCAAAGACAAGUCACCUACAGAGAGAGAGAGAUUUUAAGAUGUGGUUGGUCGCUCUAUAUCCUAAAGUAGAUUCCAAUGUGGAUGGAUCAUAAACUCCUUUUACUUACUAAUGAUGUAAAGAAAAAAAAAAGAAGCACAUCAUUAUUUAGUCUUAGUUUAUUAUUUUUUUUUUCUAUGGCCGGUUUUACUGGAGUGGAUCAAUUUGAGCGAAAUAAGUUCAGAAUCUACCGAUGAUACUGUGAUGCAAGUAAAUGCAUCAAUUAGAAUUCAAAUUUAAAAUCUCAGGUAUCAAUUAUUAAAUUUUUUAUCACUUAUUCUAAGCACGGUCAGUUAUUUUCUACGUAUUUGGACUAGAAGUACAGAUGGCGUGAUUUUUUUUAAAUUUUUUUAGUUUUUGUAUUUUUGUGAGGGGUGGCCGUACGCGAGAUGAUGUGAUAUAUCAUUGUAGCUACUAUAAUGGGUCUAUGGGAUAAGACUUAAUGAAAUUCAUUUUUAAGAUAUCAAGCGUAUAAUCAAUACUAAGCCAAAUUUAAAAAAAAUUUAAAAAAUAAAAUAAAUGUUACCUAACGCGCGCUGUUACCUAACGCUGUAAUCAAUAAAUUUUGGGAAUUUCGAUGCAGCUGUUACCUGACGCGCGCCCACGAACGAGUCCUCUUCAUUGGGUUGCCUAACACAAAUAAACCGGAGCCUAAAAGCAGAUAUAUUGAUCUCCAAUUUAAGGCUAAAUUAUAUCAAAAUUUGAUUCUUUACUUUCUCUUCUGUCAUUUAAAAAUAUAUACUUUAUCCUCUUAUAUAAUAAAAAAUAUUCACAGAGGGUACGGUGUGAACUGACAAAAUGACCAUUUUGUCCCUCACCAUUUUGACUUUCACCAUAUUCACAGAAAAGAAGGCUGAGAAUAUUUUUGGCAUAAAAAAUAUAUAAUAAUAUUUUAUAAAUGUAACCCUAAUUGUUUACUAAUGGCAGGAGGCGAAGUGAAUAUUUUUUAUUUUAUAAAAAAAUAAAAUAUAGAUUUUUAAAUAAUAGGAAGGAAAAGUAAAAAAUUGAAUUUUGAGUUUUUGACAGAGAUAUAUAAUUUAGCUUAAAUUUAAAUAAAAUUUCGCCUUUAUCUUAAUAUAUUAGAAUUUUAAUCUGAACCUAUGGUUGGUUGGGCGUUCUCCCGUAUGCGACCGCGUCCGCAGAAAAGGCCCGAUUCAAGCCAACGUGGGGAGUUUUAUGUUUACUCCGCAUGCCACUUUUUAUAGGGGCCCGAGAUUAGCUCACUGCUCCGUUGGAACUCGGAAGCGGCGUAUUCGCGAGCUCGUGGUGGCCGAGUCAGAAAGAGAGAGAGAGAGAGAGAGAGAGAGAGAGAGAGAACAGAGAGGUAUCUAGAGAGAGAGGCGGUAGGGGGAGGAGAGAGAGAGAGAGAGAGAGAGAGGGGGGGCGGCCUACAACUACAACUGCUCCUGGUUUUGGAUCAUACUGUCGCGUCGUGUUGACCUCUCGGGAAUUCCUCUCCGCUACCCUUUUGCUAGAAUAGAAACAGGGAGGUGGGGGGAGUUUUGUAUAGAGGGCGAUUCGUGUUCUCACGCUACCCGCAGCGAUUAGUCUUGUGUGGGAGGAGAUCCCCAAAUCGCUUCACUUCGCUUCGAAAUGGGUUGGUGCUGCUACCUUCUCUAAUCAGUUUCGUGGUGGUUUCCCUUCAAUUUCCAUUUCAAAGUUGUCAAAUUGGGUUUUGUUUUUUAAUUUUUUUUUCCUGUUUUUGUAAGUAUUUGAAGCGCGUGGUUAGGUUUUCUAUUGAUUGGCUUGUGAAGUUUGUUUUUUUUUUUUUUUCCUGGAAUGGUUUAUUUUUGUGAUGGUUUUUUUCCCUUCUGCCUCUAGUGGCUCUGUUUCUCUUCAACUAUCUCCUAGUUUUGCGAUUCCUGAACUUGGGUUCGAUUUGUAAUGUUGGGAUUCUUACUUUUGGUGUAUCAGAUGCAUCCCUCUUCUUAAGUUUCUAACUUUUUGUGUUCUUUGCCACGAUUUUCUGUUUUUGCGCUGGUGAAGUUUCUUUUUUUUUUGGUUCAAUGGUCUUCUAGAUGAUUGUUACUUCCCGUUGGAUUUGUAAUGUAUAGUUUCCUAUUCUGACUGGUUCCUGUGGGAAUUUGACCCGCAUGAAUCCUAUUUCAGUUUGUUCCAUUGUCGCCAAAACUGUGCCUUUUAUUGAAUAUAUAUUUCGAAGGGUUUCGCAACUUUCCUUGUUAUAUGGUUUCUUUAUCUGAAAACCUACGUAUCUCCUUUUUCCUAGUAAUACACUAUGCCAUCCACUACUACUAUUUUUUUUCCUUCUUUUUUCAGGGCAGUUUAUUGUGCAAGUUAUGAACUUUAUUAGAUUCUCAUUUCUUUAUCGUAUCAAUCUCUUAUUUAGAUGCAAGCUUUGGUCCUACAUGGGACAGUGAUGAUGAAUAUGAAAAAUUCAUACAGAAGAUGAAUCCUCCAAGGUACUGCUUUUGUUACUCAGACAAAUCUGAUUCUUUAUCCGAUUCCAUGACGGCAUAUAAAAAUGUUUCAUCAUUUUUUGUACUUUCUUUUCUCAGAGUUGUAAUCGACAAUGAAUCUGCUGUCGAUGCAACAGUUGUUAGAGUAAGCUUAUUCUCUUUUCUCAACUGAUGAUCUCUGUUUUAAAUUCAUUAGCUUCUGGAAGAGAUUGUUUUUGUGUUAUUUAAUUGUUUAUUAAUCUUGUAGGUCGACAGUGCAAAUAAGUAUGGGAUUCUCCUAGAGGUAGUCCAGGUGCUUACAGAUCUAAAUCUCAUCAUAACCAAAGCCUACAUAACCUCAGAUGGAGGAUGGUUCAUGGAUGGUAUACUCCCAAAUUCACUAUUUUAUGAUAACAUACAUUUCUACUCGGUUCAAAACCAAGCGAUUAAUGAUUCCACGGGCUUGCAGUUUUCAAUGUGACCGACCGAGAUGGUAAUAAGCUGAGAGAUGAAGCUACAAUUAGUGGCCUUGCAGACUACAUUCGAAAGGUAAAGAAAAGAAAAAGCUCUUCAAUUUGAUGACUUCUUUCUUUCUAUCACAUUAUAUCCAUCUAAAUAUAGUUUAUAUCAACCCAGUCCUUAGGGGCAGAUUCUCGUUAUAUGCCUUCACGAAGGAGAUUGGUAGGUGUCGCUCCUUCAACGAACUACACUUCAAUCGAAUUCACUGGAACCGAUCGGCCGGGUUUGCUCUCUGAAGUGAGCGCGGUGCUCACGAACCUUAAGUGUAAUGUAGUGAAUGCUGAGAUAUGGACCCAUAACACAAGAGCUGCAGCUGUUAUGCAUGUGACUGAUGAAGAUACCGAUUUAGCUAUCAGUGAUCCAGAACGACUUCAGGGAAUAACGGAUCGCCUGUAUAAUUUGCUCAAAGGGAACAAUUUUUCUGGAGGAGCCAUGACGUCAGUCUCUACGCGUGGGACCCACACAGAGAGAAGGCUUCAUCAAAUGAUGUUUGAUGAUCGAGAUUAUGAGAGACCCAAUAAUAUUAAAGAUGAUGAGAGUAUCAAGCGGCUCCUUGUAGUUAUUCGAAAUUGGAAUGAUAAGGACUAUUCUGUGGUGACUAUUCGGUGCAAGGAUAGGCCGAAACUUCUCUUCGACACGGUUUGCACGUUGACGGAUAUGCUGUACGUGAUUUUUCAUGCCAAUGUCGAUACAAAAGGCCCUGAAGCUUACCAGGUAUAGCUAAUGUUGCUUUUGCCUUGCUAUUUGUUAGUACAAGGAGUAAUGUUCCUUAUUUGCAAUAAUUUAUCUUUUUAUCGUGAAGGAAUUCUACAUCAGGCAUAUAGAUGGGUUCCCAGUUAACUCUGAGGCUGAAAGAGAACGAGUAAUCCAGUGUCUUGAAGCAGCUAUAGAGCGCAGGGUGUCUGAGGUAACUAGUUUUGAGAAGUCAUUCAAGCAGAGAGAAUCCUUUUUAUUGUUGUUUGAAUAUUUUCCUUUCUGUUGCAGGAAAUUGAUUCAUCAUACACUUAUAUUAAUGGGAAAACUUCAAAAACCCCCACUGUGGUUUCACACUUUUUCAUUUUAGUACCCUGUAGUUUAAAGUUUAUCAAGUUAGUACCAUGUGGUUUCUUACUUUAUCACUUUAGUACCUUGUGGUUUAAAGUGUAUCAAGUUAGUACCCUGUGGUUUUGCACUUUAUCAUUUUAGUACCAAGGUACUAAAAUGAUAAAGUGGUACUAAAAUGAUAAAGUGUGAAACCACAGGGUACUAAUUUGAUACACUUUAAACCACAUGGUACUAAAGUGAUAAAGUGAGAAACCACAGGGUACUAACUUGAUACAUUUUAAACCACAGGAUACUAAAGUGAAAAAAAUUGAAACCACAAGCGGGUUUUUUGAAGUUUUCCCUAUAUUAAUCUAUGUACCCUAUAUCAAGUUUGGAAUAAUUUGAUAGAUAUAUCCCAGCUUUAUAUUCAUGUAUAUUCAUGUUAUGCUGGUUGGUUUUGCUUCUUCGUACUCGCCUUGCAAUGACAUAAUUAGUCUAUAGCAGUUGCUUGUUUUAUCUAUAGCACCCUCACAUCAACUGUUCAAGUUUUUAACUAUGCUUAGUUAGCACAGCGAGUAUUCUACUAUUCUAGUUUUUAUUAUAAUUGAAUCAAAUUCUGAGCAGACUCAGAUUAUAUGAUAUGGUUUUCAUAACAGAGUUUGAUUAGAUCCUAUCAAUUCCUCUUUCCUCGUCUUUGUUUUUUUUUUUAAAUUUUAUUUUUUUAAUGCUUCUGCAUGGACUAACAUGGAUAAUGUUUGACAUAAAUCGUCUUUACACAUAUUUAUAACACGAUACUGUUUUGCAGGGCCUGAAGCUUGAGCUGUGUACAGGCGAUCGGGUCGGUUUAUUAUCAGAGAUUACCCGUAUCUUUCGCGAGAACAGCCUCACUGUCACAAGGGCCGAGGUGUCCACAAGAGGAGGCAAAGCCAUUAACACAUUCUAUGUCUCUGAUACCACAGGAAAUACUGUGGAUGCAAAGACUAUAGACACCAUCCGGCAAUUAAUAGGGCAGGCCUUUCUUCAAGUGAAAGGACAACCCGAGCAAACCCAGACCCCUCAAGAAUCACCUACAUGGUUCCUCUUUAGCAACUUGUUUAGGGCAAGAUCUCUCUACAACUUUGGUUUGGUUAGGCCCUAACCAUCUUAAUAUCCAUAUGCACAAGCACAACUUACCUUGAAAAUAUUUGUCACAAAAACUAGAUGAAGGGGAAGCUGGAAACCUGUAAAUAUUGGUCCUCAAUGUUUAUACAAUUCGCUCAUAGGGACCAUUCCUCUUCGGGCUUAGGGAUAGAUUCUCAUGUACAGAAUUCCUCCUCCCUUGUAAAUUCUUACGUAGUAACUGCUCCAUGCCGUCCAUACCUGUACAUAUAGAGAUGUAAAUAUGGCCAGCUAUUAGCAGGUUGUGUGCAAUAUAGUUCUUUGCUUCUCUAUCUUCACCCUUCACUCUGCUAUUUUGAAUCUAUAUGUGAUAAAUGCAUGUAAAAAUUGCAUUCUAGCUGAUUAAGCAGGCAGUAAGUGGCACUAUUCUUUGUUCUAUGAAAAGCACAUAAAAGUAAGUUGUCAAGUUGCAGCCAUUAUAUUGUGAUCUAAGCUUGAUAUCAUAAGAUGAUGUAUCUUGAACUAUGUGGUCCUCGAUUCUCAGCUUAUCUCUUUGAAGAUCUUCGGUUAGGACUUCAGUUUCCGCUAAUCAGUUUAUCAUCUGUACGUUGUGCGUAAGGAUUAUGCGUGGUCCCUAUCAAAGAUUCAAUAUGAAUGGCCUAUUUCUCCUGCACAACAUGAGUGUGGUCCGCUGGCCACCAUCAUGCCCCAUAGUGAUGGUGGCGGCGGCCGUGCCAAAGCUUGUGGUGGCGAUUGGGCAGCGGGUGCUGAUUGGGCUCAUAAUUUCAGCCGCUUUUGUUGUCUUGUCAUUGUUAUCAAUCUAAAUCUCUUGAAACAGACAGUAAAACGUGUAGUUGUGGUCCUUUUGGCACAUCCGGAGAGAUUAAGUUGAAUGUGGGUUUUGACUCAUUGAGCGUUGUUUGAUUUGACCUAAUGGAGCCCUCUCUGCAAAGCAAAAGUAAACCAAUUUUUGACUUGAUCAAGCUGUCGAAGUUGGACUGGCUAGUUUUACUUUUAAUGGCUAUCGGAUGAACAUCAUAGCAAUCAAAAGUGUGAGCAUAUCUUGACGCAUGCAAUGUUCAGUGGGAAACAUGGGAGAGCACACACAAUGAAGGCAAUCAGGAUCACCACUACUCACCACCUAAUAAAAGCGAGACAUCUCGGACGACCCAUUAUAUUAAAAUGUGUAUGUGUAUGAGAAUUCUCAAGAUGCAUGGCAAAACAGAAAAGUCAAGAUGAAGCUAAUUUGUGCAACGCGCCAUAUUUUGAUUUGCUGUAUAAUUUCCGUUGAGAGCCUUCUUCCCUCUUUUUUUUUUUUGUCAGAGAGCGCAGCAUUUUCAUCGCUAAUGAAAGUAGGAAAAGUGCCGCGCGUUGCGGACAUCGGACUCGAAGUGGUUGAAACGAAAAGACGAUGCGUUCACAUUUUGGCAGCUACAUUUGUUUCAGCAGCCAUUUCGAAUUGUCUCACAAAUAAAUAAUGCCCGAGUAUAUUUAAAAUUACAGCAAAAUAAAGAUUAAUAGAAAAAGAAAAGAUUAAAAAAAUAAAAUAAUAAAAUAAAACUAUUGACUAUUGAGAGGGGAGGUGUAAAACAGGCCGCACGACUGCAGGCCGGGCCAUGACCCGGCAUGGCUACUGUAGCAUCCGUGCCGGGCCGAAGGGUCGGCCCGCAGGCCCGGCCCGCAUCCCGUUACGGCACAGCCCAAAUGGGCCGUAACUGCCGGGCCGCCAUGACGAUUAUUUUAAAGGUUUGAAGGCUGUAGCCUGUAGGUCUGGCAAAAGCCAGGCCCAAGCUAAGCAAUAGGUUUGCGUGAUGCAUGUCCAGUUGCCCACCCAAGUGGCCGAGUCCCACUGUCCAAGGGUCUGCCUGCCGUUGGGUUGGGCACUCGGGUGCACUGUUUUUUUCGAAAAAAAUAUUUUUUUAUUAUUUUUUUUCCGAAAAAGAGUUUAAAAAGUUUUUUUAAAAAAAUUGAUCAAAAUGACCACAAUACCCUCACUAACAUUCAAAAAUUUGACUAUUAGAGAGGGCAUUUUGGUCAAAAAUUAAAAAAUAUUUAUAUAUUAAAAAGUUAAAUUUAUUGUUUGUAUUUUAAUUUUUUUAAUUUUUAAAAUUUUUAAAUGAAUUUUAAAAAGACUAUGUAUAAUUGUGUAAAUUAAAAACUAUAAGUCAAAAAGUUAUAAUUUAAACUCUUUUUCUUAAAAAAAUAAAUUUUUUAAAAAAUACAAACUUUAUGUAAUAUGAUUAAUACAAACUUUAUAUUUUUUUGUAAUUAUUUUUUUAAAUAUCAAUUUCUCUUCAAAUAAUAAAAAAUAUUAAAAAUAUUUAAUAAAAGAGUUUUCAAAAAAUUAGGUAUAAUUGUGUAAAGUAAAAGUUAUAAGUCAAAUUUAUAAUUUAAAAAGAAAUUAUCUUUCUUUGAAAAUAAAUUUCUGAAAAAAAAACUGUGGAAGAAAUUUUGUAAAAAAAUUGGGCUGGAAGACUAGCACGAAGCUCGCCCCGGCCUGCACAGUCCGUGCUGGGCGGGCCAGAGGCCGGGCCGAGCCUUCUUUUAUGUAUAAACGGGCCACCGCGGCCCGGCCUUGAUUAAUAACCGGGUUGGUCCGGACCGAAUCUUGGCCCGAAUUGUUCCGGAAAAAGUGGGCCAUUCCAUCCCGGCACGGCCCACAUUACAUCCUCGAGUAUGGGAAAGCAGCUAAUGCAAGGGGCGACAAUUGAGAGAAUCAUUAAUCCAAGGGCCGAGCACCCAAACAAAACGCAAGAACCAAGCGUACGACAGAGUACGAGUCAGCCCAUAAGGCCCGCAACCCAACCGUUCUGGCGUUCCAUCUUCGGUUGCGGGUUGCGACUUGCGACGCGCUAAAUUAAUUGAUUAAUCGGAUUUAAUUGUAGGUUUGAGUCCCGCUUGGGGUCCACCGCGAGCUCCUCGGGGAAGCCAUCGUCGUCGACCCAACCCUCUCUAGUCUCCGCUCCUCCUAUUCCCUCCCUUCCUAUGCUCGGAUACUACCCGUGCACAUAACCCCCCCUGUUUCUCCAAACACCCCACCAAACGCAAGCGAGCGCGAGCAAUCGAACGCACGCUCUCCCUUCCCCUUCACGCGGGGGAGAAUCCUCCGAUGCCAAAGGACUUGGGAUCUUCGUACCGCGUUUCGAUCCACUUCGAUUCAGGUUCCGUACCUUUCCCCCUCGAUUUUUCUUUCUAAUUUUGAUUCCCAAUUUGGUUUCGACUCGGAAACCCUAGUUUCCUUUCUCACUUUGCGCUACUGUAUUGAAUUCCGGGUCGGUUAAUACUUCUGGAGUGGUUAGGGUUGUAUGGGAUUCGGUUAGCGGUAGGAAAAUUCGCUCGAAAUUUGUUGUGAAAGGAUUCACGGUGCUCUGGAUAUUCUAUUUGAUCUUACUCUUCGAUUAUUAUCAAUGAGUUUUCAAGAUGGAGAAUCCUCGUGUCGGGUGGAUGAAUUUAGUUUUCAAUUGUGAAGUUAAUCGUGAUCGAUCAUCGUUUUUGCCGUAAUUAGGUCUUGGAUUCUAUCGGGCGUGAUAGUUCAUCCUAUCUGUUUGUCAAUUGCUGCUGUUGCUAAAACGAAUUAUGUGGUAGGCUGCAGUACAGGAGGGUAGAUACUUUUUGGGGGUAUCAUUUCGGUUAUAUUUGCAGGAAAUUAAGGGCUUGUUUGGAUGCAUGAGCAUUUUUUUCAGCAUGCUGUGAGUGGUUGAUGAGGAGAGUGAAAAAAAAAAAAUUGUUACGACCAUAUAUUAUAAACGUUCCCUAAGUCAUUAUUUUUUAAUCACUGCCAAAGGCUUCUGUCGUUUUAGUGCUUUAAAGAACUGCUAAUAGUUGGAUGUUGUCGAGUAGCUACGCUAUGCUGCAUGUUAGCCAAUGUUGCAGGUAUUGGGUUGAGGAAUACUUCAUCUGCUGAUCAGCUAUUGAUUGAUUAUGGGGUAUGUAAAGCCAAACCUGCUGAGUGGUUUGAUACUAUAUUCAAAAGGUGUUUGUUACAUAUUUGUAUGCCUUUUCUUUACUUGAGAUCCAAGCUGGUUUAAGCAUUUUAAUGUGGUUUUCGUCAUCAUCUUUGUGCUUUAGUUUUUCUUUUUUAUCUGUCUAAAAAAAUUUAUUCUUUUUGGUUUCUUGCUUCAAUCUUCGACUACCCUUUCUACAUUUUAUCAUAAGUAGCUCGUCGAUGAUCAGGAUGUGUUAAAGCAUUCUGAUGUGAUAGUUCAUUAUCACUCUGAGUACGUAGUUUUCAAUUUUUGUCCGAUAAAAUUUGCUCUGUUGAUUCCUUGCUUUCAAUCUCCAUCCAAUCUUUCAAAAUUUGGUUAUAAAUAGUUAUUGUGUAUGCCCCAACAUCUCUUUCCUGCCGUUGUAGGUAAUGGUACUUUCUUCUUGACCACCUUAGCUAUUAACAUUGUUAUUUUCCUUAUGUCGUUGACAGGUACACAUUCUGAUGAUUGAGAUUUUCAACUCACAGAUGUAAAUGGUCUAUGGAGUAGUGUGACAUACUCUGUAUUCGCAUUAUACAAGUUUGUCGUGCUGUUUAAUUUGGCAAGGAGAGAAACGCUCUUAACUAAGUGAUCUUCAUAGACAAAGAUUUUCUAGCACAAUUAGUGUAAUAAAAGAUAUGUCGAGGGGUCAAUCUCAAACAAGAACCGACUCGAGGAGAAGAGCUCUCGGAAAGUGCAAGUGUAAAAGCAGUACUGAAAGUGUGGUGAUCAUUGAUGUUGAUAGCAGUAAUGACGUGUUCAUAAUCAACUCUCCUGAGAAUUCCCAUCAUGUACCUACUACUUCUAGAAGCCCUUGGAAGAAUACAUCUCCUGACAAUGUUAUUAGCAUAGAUGAUGAUGAUGAUGAAGAAAUUGAUGACAAUCCUACUACCGCCAAUCAUGCCUCCACCAGCAAGUCAUCGAAUCGUAUGUUUAAUUGUGCUUCGCUCUCAAAAGAGCUGGAUGAUGAUGGUGAUGAUGAUGAUGAGUGUCAAAUGUAUGUUAAAGAUGGAAAUUAUUCUGCAAAAUUGUUGCCUAAAUAUGGUUAUCCUAGAAAUCGCUAUGGUCUAGAUUUUGUUCCUGAUUCGAGAUCAUCUGGAGGUAGCACUUCUGAGUCUGGCACAUCUGAAGUGGAAAGUUCUGACUACGACAGUUCUGAUUGUGAAAUUAUGGAUGACACAUCAGGGGAAAUCCGUAAAAACUGGGAGAGAGCUGCUUCAAGAAAAAGGAUGUCAGAGGGAGUUCAGAUCAGCUCAGAGGACUGGACUAGUUUUUCAGGAUCGACUUCUGAUCUUGGAACACAGUCACAUGAGACCACAGUAAACAAUGAAGAAAACUGUUGUUUAAAUGAGACCUAUGCUGAUCAUCAUCACAAAACACCUGCUGAAUGUAGUCCAAACAAUUCAUAUAAUAUAGAGAACAAUCUCCCUUCUGAUGAACCCAUGGAAGAUUUUCUUUUUUGUGCCACAAAUUUAGAUCCUUUUACAGGAAUCAGUCACAAUGAACCUGUUUUCCAGAAGGAAGAACUGAUUCCAGAAAAAUGUUCUACUCAAUCUCAACCCCCUGAUAUUAAUCAACUAAAUGGCGCGGGUGCCUGUUCCUGUGAACCAUCAGUUUGGGUUGAUAAUGGUCAUGCUAAUUAUCCUGAGAAAAUGGAGGAGGAGAUCUUUCUGGAUUCUUCGUGCCACUCUCAAUUACCACACGAUUUCAUUGAUAGUCCUGAAAUUGCUGCUUAUGAGAAAGAGAAGUCAUUCACGAGUAGAAAGGCUUGGCCUAACAAUCAGCAAACAGAAGAAUCACAACUUAAUAAGAAUUGCUUCCAAACUAGCUUUAAGGAAGUUAUUCUAGAGAAAACAUUUGGUCACCAUUAUGCCGGAAGUAGGGGUGAGAUGAGUUGCUCCUCUAAUGCAGAAUCUCAGGUUCAAAACGGUUUAGUUAGUCACUCUGAAAAACCUAUGGAACUGACUGUGAAUGACAACACAUUGGAUGUUCAAAACAAUUUAAUUAUUGACCGUGAAAAACACAAGGAAUCUGCUGAGUUUAGACGUGUUGCAGAGGAAGAAUGGGCGUCCAGGCAGCGGCAGUUACAAAUUCAGGUUUGGCUAAUAUAUUUCGAAAUUGUCUCUUGACUAGUUGGUUUCUCUCUCUUCUCUCCCACACCCCCCACCCCGCUCCCCCUCCANCACCCCCCCAAAAAAAAAGAAACCCACCCCCCUUCUUUUUCUUGCUGUAUAAAUAUGUUAUACUUUUCCUUAUUGGUUGAGUUGGCAUUAGUUUUCAUUUGCUUAGUGCUGUAUAAAUAUCUAAUAUGUUAUGAAUGACAAUCGCUUUCAACUAAGGUAUUCGGAAGAUUUUGCUGGGAAGAAUAUGGCUUAAAAGUGGAAUGGUUGUAGCAAACUUGUUUAGCUUGCUCCUUAAGUUUAUAUAGAGCUAUCAAAGACAAAUCCCAGAAAACUGUGCCGUGAGUGAUUCCUUUUAUCAUUGGUACAAUUGAAGUAUGAAUAUUUAUUUGCAAGAAUACAUGAUCAUUCUUGUAGAUGCUUUGGUUUCUAGAUAAUUUUUCUAAAGCUUCAGUAUUUACAUUAUCACACCCACAAUAAGAUCUAAGCUAACUUUAUAGGUCAGCUCCGUAAUUAGUGAUUGCCAACACAGGUAAGUUUCAAAUUUUUAUAGAUCAGCACCAUGAUAAGUGAUUACAACUGGGCUAUUGAUUUCACAUGGUUUUCAUACAUUGUGAUUGUGUAGUACUUGUAAUGCAAUUUGGUGAAUAGCCUGUACUGAAAGAGGCUCGUUGUAUCAUAGGCAGAAGAGGCUCAAAGAUUGAGGAGGCGAAGAAAAGCUGAAAGUUUGCGUCUACUUCACAUGGAAAAGAGGCAAAAGCAGCGGUUGGAGGAAAUCCGUGAAUCGCAAAAGAAGGUUUGGAAGUUAUAUUUUUGUUCUUCAUUAACUUUGCAAAUUUCGCUGAUUAUCUUCUAAAAUUUGGCACCUGCCAUCAGUUGUUGAUAGUUUCACAUGCUAAAUGUUUCUUCAUAUACAUGUCUUAUUCUUGUGAUUUCUUUUUCAGGAUGAGGAAACUAUAAAUCUCAAAGAGCAAAUACGUGUUGAGGUAAGGAAGGAACUUGAAAUAAUGGAAUUAAGAUGCAAAGACAUGGCUUCAGUUUUGCGGGAAUUAGGCAUCCAUGUUGAAGGGGGUCUUUUUCCUUUGCCUCGUGAGGUGUGUUUAUCUAUUUCUAUCUAUCUGCUAAUUUAUUGUUAUAUCAAGUAGAAGUUGUAAAAAUACCCAUAUAAUCUUGAGAAUGUACCAAUAUAAUCACAAGUAGCCCGCUUAGUGGUAGCUGGGUUAAACUAGCUUUUGAUCCUGUGGCCCUAAUUGCUUAAAACUGGGCUGGUAUAUUAUAUUAUAUAUGGGCUAAUUUAUGCUUUCUGAAAGAUGCUCUAGUUCCAAAUUCCUCGGACUCACAGGCCGGUUUAUGCUAACUUGAAUACAAUAUUUAUUUUACCAGAUCAAUUCUGCCUGUAAGCAAGCUCUGAGGAAGUUCCACCCAGAUCGGUUCUCCAGAAGUGAUAUUCGCCAGCAGGUCAAAGCAGAGGAGACAUUUAAGUUCAUCUCGCGCUUGAAAGAAAAACUGCAUCCUUUUUCUUGAUUGAAUAGGUUCUUGGAAUUUGGUGUCGUCUGUUGUUUUUCUAGCACUGUUAACUGGUGGACCUCUGCCCUUUUGGCAAUAUUCUAGCAUUUUCUUUUUCCUUUUGGGUAAAUAUUCCGGCGCUUGUUUCUUGAUGAAGUAGGUCUGUUUCAAAUUCUUUUUUCAUCUGAUGGAAAGGACUAACUAGGUUUUUCCAUUUUUCCACUUUUCAUAGGUGUCAUGCCAUGUUUGAAGUAUGGCAUGGAUUAAGCACUUUGUUUAAGUCCUGUUUAUGCCUCAAAAGCCCGUGGUUUUUCCUGAUAAUUUUUUACCCCGAUAAAUAUUGUACGAUGCUUUACGGGGAGCUUCUUUUAGAGGUUGGUGAGGAAAGGAAAGAGAUGUGAAGGAACUGUUAUUGUUGAUCACUGAGGACUAAAUAAUAUUAGAUAAGAUUGAUUCUUUUUUAACACAGUACUACUCUUGCUCCUGGCACAAUUUCUUUUGCUUUCUGCAAGCAGUGAGCAAACUCAAAUAAAUAAACGCCAAAAACCUUUUUUCUGGUACAGGCACAUGCGCUGCUGUCCGCAAAUGACACUUAUGUAACAGUAACUCAACAUUAUCAUCCCUGUCUUUAAGGGGUAAGAGCUAAAUCGCCAGCAACAAUUAGUGACCAAAACACUUUACUGGAGCCACCAGAUGAGCCGUCCGUGACGGCACCGCUCUCUUUAGUUGCUCAUGUAACACAUUUAACUCCGCACUACUACAGUACUAUUGUUGCCUUGGAGUCAUCCAAGAAUUUUUUAGUAAAAGAAUUCCUACACAUUACUGCACUNGGUAAAAGCAUUUUAUUAGACUUUAUUCUUUUUUCAUUGACAAAUGUGAGAUUUUGCUUGUUUAAUUUGAUUCUGCAUGGUUCUUUACUUCACAUGAAAAUAUAUUAAAAGUUGAGUUAAAUUCAAUCAAAACAUAUAAAUUAAGUUUUUUUUUCUUUUUUUUUUUGAGAGAAGGUAGCAUGCUACCGUUUCAUUUAUUUAGGGUUUGAAUUCAGCUACAAAGUGAGACAACAAGGUCUCCGACAGACAUGAAAAAAAAAAAAAAAACACUAGUUGGUACAGAACUGAUCCAAUGCUCUCUCAGGGAUCGGAUCUUAGCUAGCAAAAACUACAUAUCCUUUUUCUCUUCUUUGAAAAUACGAUUGUUUCUUUCCGGCCGGACUACCCACCACGUUGUGUUACUGCUCAUUUUUUAUACUGAGAUUUUAUUCAAUUGUCAUAGAAAAUGCAGAUGAAAAUCUCAUUUCAUUUCAUAUAAUAAGCUGAGGCGUUGAUAGCGCAAAUGAACUUCUCAAUCCAGAACAAACAGUGUUCCAACAUUUGGAAAUUAAUUGGAAACAGAAUCAGAAAUGGUGAGUUGCGAGAAAAGUGAUAGAUCAGCUGAUACAAUAUUAUAUUAAUAUACCACCGAUUGAUUCGUUCUGAAAACGUAGUAUGGAGACGACACAUCUAUGAAAAGCAACAUAUAUAUAUAUAGAUUAUGGUCUUAGAUCCAAAUGAAGUUUCAGUUUAGAGAACCAAUUCCUGCUUCCCUCAUCAGCAGCGGAGGACGAAGCUUGUGGCGAUGCUUCUAUCUUCAGUUCCGAGCGUUGUUUCUUCGCUUUGGCGCUGCGAUAGUAGAGCCAAAGGAGAGCGAGUGCCGCCAGGAGGAGAAGGCCCAGGCCCAUCUUAUCAACCAAGCCAAGGAGUUUCUUCAAGAGAUGCACCACCUGGCACAGCUUCUUCAGUAUAGACUUGAGGACAUCUUCGAUAUCGUCGUCGUCGUCAUCGUCUCUGAGCUUCUGUUCCUCCAUCGUUACCUUCAUCAGGCCCCCCCUACUCUCUUUCUCUCUCUUUCUCUCUCUCUCUCUCUCUCUCGCUCUGGUCCAGAGUGUGUUUUAAUAAUAGAGUAGAGAACGUAAGUACGUUCUGCAUUAUUACCUUCGUGAGUACCUUCCGAGUAAGAACCCGAUCGACCCACAUAUUCCACAUCUUGUGAGCCAUAGUAACAGCAUUGGGUGAUUAAUUCUAGCUUCUUAUUUACACUUGUUACAUAAGUAGGUGUUGCCAUGUUGGGCCUCUUCCCUCUCGUUCUCACAAAUUAAAGAAGAAGAAUAUACUAACCUUAUUAACAGUUACCAAAUCAACAAAUGCAUGCAUUAGCGAGUACAUUUUGAGUCCUUUUUAGACUUUCUUAUCUACAUACACUAGAAAUAAUCCAAUUAAAAUUAAGCCGAAAAUGGUGAUGGCUAGCCUAAGCUAGAAGCCAGAAAUCUUUGUGGCGCCUGCUAGUGAUCAAGUAGCCCCCAGAAUUCCUUCCCUUCCUCCUCACUGCCAGAGUCAUGCAUGAAGCAUUCUGUAUGCAGUACUCUGCCACUCCGCCGCUUCUUCCGCGCAUCAGUUUGCUGGCCCACAUCAUCAGCAGCAGCUGCCACGUCGCCGCUCGCUUCUUCUUCUGCCCCAAGACUAGAAGAGAGAUGCCUCGUUUCCUCGCCUCCUCGACGAUCGCUGGUCCUCGCUCUUUCCCUUCCACCAAAGAGAUCUCUACUUUGACCUGUUAGGCAUCGUCAGGGAUAUUUGCAUGUUACUAUGGUAGGGAGUGAGAAACUGCAACGCGUGCUUUCUAAAGUGAGAUCCUUCAUUUUAUUAUUAGAGUGGUAUCAGUAUAAUAUGGUGGCACAAGGGGAUUACCACACAUUGGAGUAUGUUGCCUAGUCUUUUUCCAUCAGACUCGGACCACAUCUUAACAUAAGAUUCCGACCCAGGCCCUCAAAAUAAUUAAUGGUUUACGAAUGUACAUGAUUCAUGUGUAGAGAUGAUAUUGCUCUUUCCCUUCUCUCACUUUGAGGAUAAGGACAAUGCUGACUUGUGGAGAUUCGCCUAACAAUAACGAAGGAGAUAAUAUAAAAAAAUCAAAGUCUCCAUUCACCGAACACUUCCUUAUACUCUGACAAUUUUGUUGAAUAAAAUAUUUGUUUUCUAUAGGUUGGUUGUCACAUCCCUGCAAUGGAGAUCCUCUGUUGCCCAAGCUGUACAAAUUUGCAGCAGCUAGCUUAUAGUAUAGCCUAAUUAAUCAACACCAACAAAUUCGGGAAACUAAAUGACUUCUCCACUUUAAGACAACCAUUAAUCGGAUGCCGCAUGUAUACCCAGGUUUGAAAUAAUUCCUAUACUCUGUACAACACAUUCAUCGGUAAGAAAAAUUCUGGACCUUUCAUUUUUCAGUUCAACUUUUUUUUUUUUUAAAAAAAAAAAAAAAAAAAACAUACAUAAAUGCUACAUUCACACAUAUUUUGAUCUUUAUGCUCCCCUCAGUAAAAUCAAUAGAAGAUCACAUAAAUAAAAAACUUCACCUCUGGUCUUCUUGUUUGGCAAAUACUUCUCAAGGCACGGAGAUGCUUAAAGCCCCUCGAACCGACUGUUGUUGCACGGGGACUAUGAUUGCCUGCGAAGUAAUAGCAGUUGACAGAAAGAGGAGAAUUCAACUGAAGUCAUUCUCAUUCCCUACUUGAAUCAACCUACGUAUCGUUGAACUAAAUUAUAUAUACACAAUACUAAUUCUGCAAACUGACCAUGUUUCGACAGCUUCAGGACGUCGAGAAGCACAACCGUGUCGCCGCCCUGCACGGCAUGAGAAAGGGCCCACUCAAGAGCUGCCUUCGCCUCCGCUCUCGAGCCCGCUCCUGCAACCAUGAUCCUCCGUCCGGCAGCCGGCUUUGCUACACUAUUAUUGCUGUUAUUGCUACUGAAGGAGUACGAGCUGUGCGCGGCUGCAUGAUCAACUGCUGCAGGGUUAAUAUUGGGUUUCAGAUUGGACCGUCGGGUGCGCAACCGGACCCGGGUCGCCACCCGAUUGAGACAGAAGCUCGCGAUCCUCAGAGUGCCGGUCCGGCCCAUGAAAGAAUGCUUCAGAUCGAUGGGCGUUAAUUAAUAAAGAGUUACAGAUUAAGAAGAGAUGAGUACUGCUUCAACUAGUAUAUAUGAUGGAGAUCUAGCAAGUAGCUGCAGAGUACGUGGAGCUUUAUUCUUUGGACUCCUUCAGCUCUACGUGGAUGAUCUCCUGUUCUUCUCUCUCUCGCUCUCUCUCUCUCUCUCUCUCUAGUCUCUACCCGUGUCUCCUUUCAUAUAUUGUAGGAGAGAUCCACUCCCACAGAUAAUUAAGCGGCUUCAUCCUAAACUAACGUGCAGGCCACAAAGGUCUAUCUAUAAAUACAUAUUUAUUGUAUAUAAUGCAUACGUGCGUGCUAGCUUUGUCAUAUAUAUANAUAUAUAUAUAUAUAUAUAUAUAUAUAUAUAUAUAUAUAUAUCAUCAUAAAUCUCAGGAUCGUAGGUACUAGCGUCGGAUGAUUAGCUGGAUGUACGGUUGCAACUGCUUAAUUUGACCAUGAUGAUCGAUCUGAAGAAAGUUACCCUAUCGACCGUCAUGACUAACCUUUGACCCGCCACACAUUCAAGAUUAGAUUUGAUCAGGUAAGUUGGGGAUCUUCGUAUGGGUCUCAAAUCUCGCAACAAUCGACUAGGAUUUAGAUGUGGUGGAACUGUAAUAGAAUUUUUCGAAUCAGGCUUAUCUAAUUAUUUGAUACUUCUAUUUGACUCUUACUCCUGUGAUAGUCAUUAUGCUUCUUUUUUUUUCAGCGGUAUUUUUUUUUUGUCUUAUUCUAUAUAUAAUUCAAUUCGUAACUGUCGGGCAUGUCCUCUAUCAUGCUAACAUCUUGUAAACUAGCUAUUUGUCUAUUGUAUUGUAUUCUGUUUCACUCGAAUCUCUCACACCAGCAAGCUUGGUGUGGGCUAGAGGGGUGUAUAUAUAGCAGUAGUUAAUUCGUUUGGUAGAACAACCCCGGAAUAUAAACUCUUUCGCGAAUUAAUUAGAGUUUGGAAAUAUUCGCACGCUUCAACGCUCUUAAUCUUCGUUGUAUGCUCUCAACAACCAAAAUCUCCACCCACGGAUUUUCCCAGCUAAAUGCUUUGCCCUACUAAAACAUUUUAUUGUAAUAAUAUAUACGGAAUAGGAACAAAUUAUGGGUGGAAAGGUCAACUUGGAUUGACAACGGGACAAGGUUUCUCAGACUUGCGAUUAUCCAUCUCUCACCGUCUCCUAGCUGGCGCCAAUUUCUUUUAAUACAUAUAUAUAGAGAACGUACGUAGGCUAAAGCAUUUCCAUCUUAACAAUUUAGAAUCAUUGUAGAGAUAGGAGGAUAAGAAAACAAGUGGUUUAAAUUGCUAUUCACUUGUACUAUAUUGCGUAGUGGAGACUUGCACGGGAGGUUUCCUAAUAUUCUACUAUUGGUAAUCAAAAAUGCAGGCGAGUGGAAGCAUAGUUUAUUUUGGAAAUCAAUGGGCGUGGGCAUUUUGUUAUUCCUUUUAUCUCGGUCAAAAAAUGUUGAUCUUUCAAAAAGAAAUAGAAAAACGAAAGUUAAUUGUUUUAUCUUUUAUGUUUUCCGCAGAAAAUCCCUGGGAUGAUGUCUCUAUUUUGUAUGUAGGUACAAUUUUCUUCUUUAGUAAGGGAGAGUCUGGAGCUUCUGCACAGAAGAAAUGAGCCCAACCCAAUUCCCUUGCUUUGGGCCUGUUAGGCCCACUUGACAUAUUGCAUUUUAGAACAAAUCCCAUCUAACAGCUCUGUCAUUGAAUGCGUUUUUUCAUAUACCUCUCAAAUAUUUGAAUUUUCAUGCAUACUCUGGAAAGAACUGGAAUUCUUAAACAUUUGGGCUUGUCACUUACUAGAACUAGUAGUUCUCGUACAGAAAAUGAAAAAAAAAAAAAUAAAAAAAAUAAAAAAACUACUUCUGAUGAAAAAAAUUUUGCCCGAAAAAACCUUACUUUUUAUGGAUAUGACAUUCUUUUCUGCUGGGGUAAACAUCUUGUGUCCUAAGAGCAGGAUCCAAAGUUUCAAAAGUUUAUUCUAUUUCAUCAAAAUAUUUAAUAAAAAAUAAAAAAAUGAAUAAAAGAUUGCUUGUUCGAAUAAAUCUAUUUGAACAAGCAGCCUUCUUACAAAAGCUCUAAGUUGAACGAUGUCUAUCAUUGUCAUAUGUCAAGUGCUCGACUUCUCGAAUUUUUGCCGAUCAAACUCUUGCCGAUGAGUGAUGUACUACUGGAUCUUACAAACUAAGCAAUAAUUAAUAAUAAUCCGAUGUUGGAUCUACUGAUGGAAUAACUUGCAUAGAAGGCAAAGCUAACUCGUACCAACUAAACCCUCUUCCCCACUUUUAGAAGGAAUAAUGGUAAUAAUAAUAACAAUAAUACAAUUGUACUACAUAAUUACUUGUCUAUUUCGCUGACAGCGACAAAUAAUUGUACAAUAGAUCAAUCUAUAAUUAUAUGCUAAUAUUAAUAACCAACCGCCAAUGGGCCCAUUGUCUAUUGCAUCUGAAUUAACUUGGUUGUGGUGAGUCAAUGACACCAUUUGGCUUGACUUGGGCUCAAACUUUCUUACUUUUGACUCAAAUGUAUAUGCAUAGAAUUGAGAAUUUUUUUUUAAUAUCAAUUCAAGUGAAAUCUAAAUCAUUUAAACCUAUUUUUAAAUCAAGUAAAACAACGUGACUCAUCGAUUGGACCAAUUGAUUGGGUUGAACGUAUGGGCUUUAGAUUAAACUGUGCUCAUAUCGUAUCGCUAUGAUUGCGUUAAGUGUGGUUUCCAAAGUUUAGCUAGGGUGGCUCUAUGAUGUUCAUCCAAAUUCGUCAAUUACAUAAACCCUCAAAACUAAAGUCUAAAGCUACCGAGCUUUUAGAAAAACAAAGAACUUAUACUUUCAUUUCAUUUUUAUUGAUAGGGCAAUUUUGUUGUGUAAAUUAAAGUUUAAAAGAACCUGCUUUAAUUUCAUUUUUUAACUCUGCUUAUCAGCUACCACUUAUGUCCAAUCAAACCUAGUCCGCGGGAGAAGUUAGUAUUAGAAUAUCAGACCUAGUAAGUACUAAAAGGUUCAUAGUUUGGUUCUUUGUCAACUUCAAUAUGAAAAUAACUGUUAAUUGGGACUCUUUGACAACCUCGUGUUUGCUCGCAGAGGCUCGUUCGAUCAGAAACAUAGCGUGCUCCUCUAUCCCUAUCCAUUAACUGGGGCCAUCCCUAUUAUCCCACAUAAAACAAUCAUCCAACGAGAUUCCAAACGUUGAAUGAGCCCAAUAUCUACCUAUACAUGGAGAGAGGGAGAGUAUAUCUUAGUUACUAUCCAUAGUUUUAUAAAAUAUAUUUAGUAUAAAUUUUCUAAUUCUUAAAUUAAUAUUACUUUACCUAUCAUUCUAAAUCUUAAACAAUUUAAGAGCUAAAAGAUAAAUAAUCGACACUAACCCUUUAUUGUCAAAUAUAUUCUAGCUCGUACAUCAUUGAUAGUGAAUAAAUAGUAUUGACUAUCCAUUUUUUAACAAUUUAAAAAAAAUAGUAACAAAUACUAUUUUCAUACUAAUAAUAAGCAUCUAGCCCCACUAAUAUAUAUAUAUAUAUAUAUAUAUAGAAUUAGGCUGGAAUACUAUUAAUAAUAAAAUGCUCUUUUCUGCAUCAAGUUUUUAACCUUUUGGAUGAAAAAUUGUAAGGUCAGGAUGAUAUUAGUCGAUUAAAAUUGAGUGGUCCCCCUAGGGUUGAGUGGUCCCCACUGGGUUAUAAGUAUUUAAUCAAAUGGCUAGAAAUAAUGAAAAGAGUUGAUCCAAAGGCUAAAAAACCUAGUAGCAACAAUGAGAUUUUGCUACUAAUAGUAGCCCAGUCAACUCUCUCUCUCUCUCUCUCGUCAUCCGUCUCCUCUCAAUCUCUCUCUCUCUCUCUCUCUCUCUAUAUAUAUAUAAUAUAUAUAUAUUAAAGUAUGCUAAAAUAUUGUAAAAGUAUUAUGGGGGUGAUAUCUUGUGUGUUUUUGGCCCUUGUGGAGAGAUGUAAGGUUGAGAUGAUGGUGUAGGUGGUGGUAGGUGGAAUAGUGUUUAAUCCAAGGGCCAUUAAUAAAUCAAAAAGUAGAUCCAAUGCUUAAAACCUAAUAGCACCAUGAUGGUGAUACUUGUAAAAAGUAUCAUAGCUCAACUCUCUCUCUCUUCUCUCUCUCUCAUCUCUAUAUAUAUAUAUAUAUAUUAUUAUAUAUAUAUAAUAUAGUACGACCGUUCCCUAGAGUAAGUGGCAAAGGGUUUGGUGGUUGGUACCUCAGUGACUCCAAGUUCAGAUAUCCUAAUUGAUUUACAUUUCUAGCUAAGUUUAUUCUAAAAUUUCUCUAAGUUUAUUUCUAAAUGAAAUAAAACGAAGCCAGGUAGCGCGGCUACCUAUCUCUCAAAAAAAAGAAUACUAUUAAUAGCACCAAUGGCUUGUGCUAUUAAGUUUGCUGUCCUUAAAUAAAAGAUAUGCGGUCAGGAUGAUGUUGAGCCCUCUAGGAUUGAAUGGGUAGUUGGUUGAAUAUAUAAUCUAACGGAUGGAAGUGAUAAAAGAGGUAAAUCUAACGGCAGAAAAUUUGAUAGGCAACCAAAUGCUUUCGUGCUAUCGACAGUAUCCUAGCCGGACUCUAUAUAUAUAUAUAUAUAUAUAAUAUAUAUAUAUAUAUAUAUAUAUUAUAUAUAUAUAUAUAUAUGUAUAGAAUAUUUUUUUUAAUUUCGAAUUCUAUAUCAAAAUUCCUAGCCCCACUUAAUUAUAUAUAUAUUAUAAUAAUAGAAUUUGGCUGGAAAUACUUAUUAAUAAUAAAAAAUGCUGCUUUUUGCUAUCAAAUUUUUUACCUUUGGAAGUAACGAUUUGCAUGAAAAAUUGUAAAGUCAGGAUGAUAUUUAGUAACGUUAAAAUUAGAGUGUCCCGAACUAGGUUGAGUGGUCCCCACUGGGUUAGAUUUAAAUCAAAUGGCUAGAAAAUAAUCGAAAAAGUUGAUCCAAAGGACUAAAAACUAGUAAAAUAUGCAGAUUUUGCUACUAAUAGUAAGCCACAGUCCAACUCUUCUCUUCUCUAUCUCUUGAUCAUCUCAAUCAGUCCGAUCUUCAUGUCUCUCAUCUCUCACUCUCAUAUAUAUAUAUAGUUUAUAUAUCAAGUAUGGCUAAAAUAUUUGUAAAAGUAUUAUGGGGUGAUAUAAAUGUGAUUAUUUACCCCUUGAAUGGAGUAUUAAGGUUGAAGAUGAAUGUGGUAUAGGCGGUGGAUAGUGGAAUAGAAAUAAAAGGGCCAAUUAACAAAAUAGAUCAAAUGCUUAAAAACCUAAAUAGCAAAAUGGUGAUACUCUAAUAAGCUCUACUAUCUCACUCAUAAGAAGAUUCAACAUCUAUCAUCUCUAUUAUAAUAUAUAAUAAUAUAAAUAUAUAUAUAAUGUAUGACCGAAAUCCUAAAGUAAAGCUGGCAAAAGGUUAGGUGGUUACCGUGACCCAAGUUCGAAUCCUAUUGAUUUAAUUAUAAUAAAUUUUCUAAAUUUCUCUAAGUUAUAUUCUAAAAUGGAAAAUAAAACGAAGCAGGUAGCAAACUCUACAUAUCUCUCAAAAAAAAAAAGAUCUAAAUUAAUAGCACCAAUGCAUAAUAAGGUUUGCUGCCUUAUUAAAACGAAUGUGCGGUCAGGGAUGUGAGCCCUGCUAGGAUUGAAUGGUAGUUGGAUUGAAUAGUAUAAAAUUCUAAAGAAGUGAUAAAAAGGUAAAUUGCUAAACGGCAAGAAAAUUAUGAAUAAGCACCACAAUAAUCGUGCUAUCGAACAGUAUCCUACCGGACUCUAUAUAUAUAUAUUAUAUAUAUAUAUUAUAUAUAUAUUAUAAUUAUAUUAUAUAUAUAUAAUAUAAUAAUAGUUAGAAUAUUUUAUUUUAAUUAUCGAAUUCUAUCCAAUCUUACAUUUAUUUUUUUUCCCUUUUCUUUUUCUUGGCAAAAACGGAAGUGUAUAAGUAAUAUCAUCGAAUAUAUUAUUCAAUCACACUAAAUAUUGGAAUCAUAUUGAGAUGAAGGGUAACGUAUCUAAAAAUAAAAGGAGAAUGAUAUAAAAUAAGCUAGGAAGGAGAAAAAUCUUAAUUAAGAGGAAUAAUUAAAAAUUUCCAAUGAAAUGCAACUAAUAGAUGAAUAUAUAAUUAGCUAAAGCAAGAUAAAUGUUUAAACAGAAAUAAUAAGCCAUAUGAACUAAAUUCUCAUUACUACUUAAAUUGAUUUAAAUUUGAAUGCAGUUCUUAAUUUUUGGAUAUUUGCCUCGUGAUUAAAAUAAAAAUGUAAGUCUCAAAAAUAUACAAUAAUAAACUGCAUAAGGCAAUUGAGGCGGGAAAAAAUUGAAAAUAAUGAUGUUAGUUAUAAGGGGAUUAUCCAAUUAAAUUGCAAUUUUUAGAAGAUCAAUGCUCACAAAAACAAAAAAUAAAGAGAUUGUACGCUACACAAGACUUAAAUGGACAACAGGACUAAAUUCGAAAUAUAUAUAUAUAUAAAAAUCUAACUCAAGUUAUUUCGAAAUGAAAUAAACGAAGCGUGGCAGCGGCUACUAUCUCUAAAAAACAUAAAAAAAUAAAUAAAUAACAAGGGAAGGGGAUCUCUAAUUUUGUUUCAACAACUACAAGUGUACAUUUUUUUCAAUAAAUUUUUUUUUAGCGCACUCACAAUUCACAAAUAGUGACUCGGAAGUCACUUUCCUAAUCGAGCUGAUCUAAAUUGACUGUAAUUAUAUCGACCACUAACAAAGUAAAAGAAUUACUGCCAUCAUCAAUUCCCAAUAAGGAAGUGGCCUUUCGGUGAUAACCUUGCCCCAUAAAUUCUCAAUCAAGCACACAGUAAUCAUCGCCGUCCAUCUUCUAAAGUUCCGCGCUCAUCCAACCGUCAAACGAGUAUGUGAAAUUAAAAAAAGCCGUAACGAUAUAAACUGGCGUUUUAACUCCAGCACUUAAAAUCUCUCUACGCGAAAGAAUCCCCCUCUUCACCCAACCUACUCUCUCUCUCUCUCUCUCUCUCUCUCUCUCUCUCUCCGCGCUUUUUCUUUUUUUUUUCUUUUUAUUUUUUAUUUUUCUUUUCUUUUCGUCGGUGCGAUCUCGUAGCCUUUUUUGAGGCGGAUUUACCGGAACGGAGAGGAAAUUUAGGAGCUCCGAUCGGGGUGGAGUGAGAUGUUUGUUUUUUUAGGGUUUUGUUGAUCCGCGUCUCUUUUUCUCUCUCUCUCCCCCCGCUUCGAUCGCAUGCGCCGUUUAAUUCCCAUAUAGGUGUGAUGUUGAUUUUGAUUUUGUUUGAAGUUAGAUUUUUCUAGAGUUUUACAGGGUCCUCUUUUAAUGCAGUCUUAUUUUUAGAUUGAAGCAGCAUGAAAUAUUCCGGUUUUUUUUCUCUAAAUCAUUUGAUAGUCGAUUUGCGUUUUACUGUUUGCUCUCUGUGUCAACCUUAACCAAUUUUUUUUUUUUUUUUUUUGUUUUUCCUGAUCUAUGAACACUAAACCCUAGUUAAAAUAUAUAUUUAUUUUGAACUUCUUAUAUGCAAGAUAGGUUUAGAUUUUGAUAAUUUAGCAGUAAUUAUGGAUUCUAGGAUUGUUACUUACUUAACUUGAAGGUUCUCUUAAUUCUGUUUUAAUCUUCAUAACGUCUCUUCUCUUUGGCAGGUAUAAACUACAAAGAGAUGCGGUGAUUUCGAUGUUUUACUGUGAGUUCUGAUUUUGAAAGCUGUAUACAUCUCUCUAGCCAAAUUCUGGCGCUUCUCAUUGCGAAAUAUCCCAAUUUGAGCUCCAAACUAAGAAGAUUUGGGCAAAAGGGCUUAGAUUUGAAGUAGAAAGAGGAGGAUUGGGUUAUGGGUUCCUUUCUUUGUUGCCUGCGUGUGGACGAUCCAGAAGAGGAUCGGCAUCCAACUGCUUCCGUCGACGGCGGCUGUUUAGGCCUCAUCAGAUGGUCCUCUCUACCGUUGCUGAAUGUGGUAUGAUACGUACUCUCUUAUCUGAAAAUACCCUUCCUUUUGUACAGAAAAGGUAGUACAUGUUAAUUUCGUCGAUCAUCUUAUGUUUGUUCAAGCCACAUUACCAUAUACUUGCUUAUGCUUUUUGUCUAAACUUUUGCUCAGAAAGCAGGUUUUGAUCUGUUUUAUGUAUAUGUUCUUUUUUAGAACCGAGGUUUUUCUAAUGUGUAAAUGAUAAGCAUAACAAGGCCUCUCUCUCUCUCUCUCUCUGUUUUGUGUUUUCUACAGUAUGUUGGAUUAUUUAACAGAGGUCAAGCACGCAUCGCCCCUUCACCUGAACAGGGAACAAAUUCUUCAUCUUCCACCUCUCAACAGCAAGACCGUUCCUACAUGGACACAUUCCGAUGUCCUCUGCGGCCCCUAGCUUAUGAUGAUCCAAGAUGCUCUCAGGUGCGGCGUCGAAGUGAUGGGAAAGUGGCUGCCAAAGCCUCGAGUCAUUGCCAUGCUGCGUCUGAACCAACGAGACAUGGCAAUGAUGCUUGUGUAGAAUCAACAGCUGCAAUGGAAAAGUUGAAUGAAAUUUUACUUAAGAGUUCAUUAGCAGACGGACUGAGUGAGGAAGCAGAUGCAUAUUCUUCAUCUGAAGAUGAGGAUGAUUGUCCGAUUUGCCUUGAAGGUGCAUCAGAGUAACUAAUUUCGCACUUACCUCACUCUAAAUUUCCAUUUAAUACUAUAAACCUAUGGGAAAAAAAGGUAUUAUAGAAGAAAGAAUGCAUUCUAUGUAUAUAUGUAUGCCGUUAUGUUGGAAUCCAACAGGAGGGUAUUGCAGAUGUUAUAUUUACAAUGAGUUUCUACAAUGUUCUGCAUUAAGAUUUCUUCUGCUAAUGUUAUUGCAGAAUACGUUUCUGAGAACCCGAAGAUGAUAUUGCAAUGCACUCACCAUUACCACCUAAGUUGUAUAUAUGAGUGGAUGGAAAGAAGUGAAGCAUGUCCGGUCUGUGGCAAGGUAAGCUUUAUGUUUUCUUAUUGGUGCUCGUCCAUCACAUAUCAGCAGUUCUUGUUCCAUUUUAUGUUCCUGAUUGUGUAGAAACCAUAAUUUUAGGUAGUUUCAGCCAUAAAACCAGUACAGUCUACUUCCGGGUAGAAUCAUACACUACUUUUUGCUGCAGUACCAUUCUAGAUGUAAUCUUGAGAACUUACCUUGCUAGUGAAAGGAUUUUUUUUUUAAAAAAAAAAUCAAAAUUACUUGUGGGAUCAGGCAGCUUGUUGGCUAAAACGAAGUCUAAUUUCCUAUGUGGUUUGUGAGGAUUACAUAUUUUAUUUACAUGUAAGUAGGAUAUGCGUACCUAUCCAACAUCCUUAUACUACUGAGCUUUUCAUGGCAAGUUCACCUGUUAUUGUCUCACUUCGCUUUGUGACUUUUUAUCAAUCUUUUUGGACCAUUCUCAUCUUUAAGUUGCUCUGACUCCAUAUGGUGAUCUUGUCUUGCUUUCCUUUUCCUUUCAUUUGCUUAUUUACCGUAUUCUAUUUAUUCCAUAUGGUGCGGGUAAUUAGACUAUUACAGAUCCUUGUGCUCCAUGCUAGUAUUCAGAUUAUUCGCUGCAUCUGUAGUGUUCUUCUUCUUCUGCAUUUAUAUGUUCUUAUGCUGCAUUUUACAGGUAAUGUUGUUCAAUGAGGCAACAUGAUUCUGGUGCUUCAGUUAUGCUUCUGUGGUUCUCGGAGUUUUUGCCAUUAAAAGAUGGUAGAUUUUGUAAAUAUGCCUGCCGAAACUGCGGCCCCUAAGCUUAUAUUGCCAAGCAUAGUUCUAUUACAAGGUUUUUAGAUAUAGAUUUAUUUAUUUUUCUUCUUUUUUCUUUUCGUUUUGGGAAAUCAAUCUGUUUAUGUGAAGACCCUGAACUUUCACAGCAGUAAAACAUUAUAAGGAAAUGUUUUCUCCUUGUUAUGAAAUCUGGAGCAAACUGUGUAGCUAUGCAAAUUAAAUUUUGGCAUGAUAGAGGACUCUAGGUACACAGAAUUUUACUCUCGAAUUAGUGCUUGUUUAUGAUGAAGUCUGUAAUAGGAUUUUUUCUUUUUUUAAUCAAUAUAGUUGAUUGUAGUUUGUUCUAGGAUUUUUUUUAUUAAUAUUGUUGAAAAUGUGUGAAGACCCACUAACCCCAGGCCAUUUUUAAGAAGACCUCCCUUUUUGUUUGGUUGAUGCUAACCAAUUUGGAUUGAUCUAAAUUAUCUAGUAGAGUGAAAUUAACAGCUCUGUGGAUUUUUAUUUGUUGAAAAACCCAAAAUUUCUGUCGGCAACUCAUUAAAUUUAACAAAAUUAUUUUAAAUUUAUUAAGCUGGUAAAUUCAACAUAUAAAAAUUAUUCUAAAAAUUUAAAAAAAAACUAGAAAUUAAUCAAUUUAAAAAAAAUGUAAGAGGUCCUUCAUAAAAUGAACCAUAGUCGGAGAGUGUCUUUAUAUUUUUGUAAAGAAAUAUAGUGAGCACCAUGACAUUGCAGUCAAAUGUAUAAAAGCACAAACUCUAACACCACCACACGCUUCGUACAACAUGAGUCAUUCAGUGGGUGGGAUCUUUAUAAGAAUGCCAUGACAAGUCCUUCAGUGGGAUCUUUAUUUUCGUACAAUAUGAGUCAAAUUUAUUGGGUGGAGCCAGGAGGGUGCAGGUUUGGUGGCUUUUCCAUCAUUUAGUUUGCAGCUGCUUGAAACGCUCUCACGAAAACCUCUGGCGGUUGGCCGCCGCUGAGUUCAUGCUUCCCAUUUAUCUGGCAUGGUAAAUUAACAGUUCAAAGGGGUUUAGAAUUUGAAUCAUAAGAUCAACUAUGCCAAUGGUUAGUGAUAAUUUCCAUACCACGAAAUGCGGUACACCAGAAAUGUGUGAGGAAUACUUCUCGAGCUCUUCAUUUACCUUUAUUAAAAAGCAAGUUUGAAGUUAGCGUAUAUGUGCAUUAAUAAUGAAAUUGAAUAGAAAAAUAUCCGAAAAGAUGAAAAAAAUUGUACGCAGGAAGAUACCUCCUCGGCCCCUUUGCUCGGGUCGUCGAGCAGAUCGGCUGCUCCUUCGAUGCCAACCUUUCUGGCAGCCUCCAAAAGAACUUGCCUACAUUUCAUUUGUAUAACACAACUUAAACAUUGCAAAUUAUAGCUUGAUUAAAAUCAGAAUCAUUUUUCAUGAAUACAGAGUUUCCAUCCAGCCGUAAUCACAUUAAUGUCGGUGUCAAAAUUUUUUGAGAAGAGGCAUUAGAAUGUAUGAUGCUCCAACCAAUGUGGAACGAGGAAAUGGAAAUAUGUUCUAAACAUACAAGCAAAUCAUGUCAUACAUUCCCUUGUGUGCAAUCAUACUAGCUGUAGCACCUAACCCAAUAGAUAACAUCAAAGGAUAUCGGCUACGAUUAUACAUCCAACUAAUGCAUGGUUUAUCAAAAGCAUAAGGCUUGUCACAGUAAUUUGCAAGCAUGGUGUAAAUAUCCUCACCGGUCACCAAUGUACUUUCCUUCACAAAAGUAAUUGAAAAAUAAUUCGCCAACAAGAGCAUUUUGCUUGUCAUAGCCUUGACGUGCAGCGUAAGUUAUGAGCCUGUGACUAUCGAAUGUAUUUCCCCUGCAUUAAGCAUACAAUUAGCUAUAUGAAAGGAAUGGCACUACAUCAUAUGUAAAAUUUCACAUAACAUUGUGAACUUACGUAAGACCGGAAGUGUCGUAUUCAAGGCCAAGACCCCGGUACACCUAUAAGAUUUAGAACACAAUAUUGCAUGCAGUAACAAGAUAAUAAUUAAGUAAAUUGAACACUAGUAAUCUGAUCAAGGCAUUUUGAAAGAACCUCAGUCAUCCGAGAUAUUAUACGCUCGUAUUGGGCAGCUCCAAACUUCUGCUUAUAAAAAUCAGACUUCUUGACACCUUCCUUGGGUGCGGAAGGAUUGAGAAAAAACGGAUGCCAUCGGACCUACAUACCAAGUGGAAUUGACACAAACCAAUCAAGAGAAGUUGAUGAUAACCAAUAUAUGAUAUGUCAAAUUCUAAAGGAGGAACAAGCUAAGCUACAUAACUGUUCACGAAGAAUGAUGCGGAGAAGCAGGAAUGGAGAUAACCUCAAAAUCAAACUUGUCCUUUGUUUGGUCUAUAGCUUUGUCAAGGUUCUUCUUGCCCACAAAACACCACGGGCAUACAGUGUCCGAACUGACGUCGAUUUGAAUGUGUUUCUUAGCACCACUUGAAUGAGCCAUGGAUCUUACGAACCUACAAGUUCAUGAAAAUCCAUGUAAGCAAAAUGUCUCUACACAUCUUCACUUCCUUUCGAAUGACACAGCGCACAUCUAUGUAUAUUAUCAAUGUUCUUCAUCUACUGAAUUUGUUUUGCUGUUUUUUUUUUUUUGAGAAUAAAUUGUUUUGCUGUUACACAAAAGCAUUUCGCAUCUCCUUAUAAAUAAGCAGAACCAUGGUGGUAGUAACGCCUAUUCACUUAUGAAAGUUAAACUUUUGUUUUUGGUAUUAUAACUUGACUGCUUCUUAUGAGAAAAAGUUGGAGCUUGCAAACAAUAAAAAUUAUCUAAAACAUAUAAUAUAUAUUGUUGUUUUAUUGGAGAGAAAGAUAGGAUGGUAACCGCUUUGUUCAGUUUAAAAAAAAAAAAUACCGAACGACAGACUCUUAACCAACUGUGCUGGACAGGAUCGGUUAUAUAAUAUAUAUUUGUUAGUGUGCAUUAAAAUAUGUACAAUCAGUAGAAGGGCUAAUAAGAAACAAAUUUCAGCCUCACUAUUGAGAUAGAAUGAUAGAUAGAUGUAGCGAAGUGCCUGGUAAGUAUCGCCCAACUCAUUUAGAAAUGAACUCGAUCGACCAAAAUUUUGAACUUCUCCACCAAAAUUAGAGAAAGGCGCUUCAGUAGCACUACAGAGGCAAAGCGCAGGAACAAAUUUACAACCUCGACUCGUUUCCCAUCAAAAUUCGCACAACCAAAAAAAAGGCCAUGGAAUAAUCGAGCAUUAAUUCUUAAUUUCUAACAAAAGGGCUCGUAAAUUCCGGAAACACCCCCAAAAUUCGUGAAACAAACAAUAUAUGUAUAUACAUCUAACAACACAACUGCGUACUAGAUCAAUUAGGGAAAAGGAGAGAAAGAGAAAUCGCACCUGGGAGUAGCCGAUUCAAAAUGAAAGGAGCAAAUUUUCCAAUCUCUCUUUCACAAUAAUAAUAAUAAAUAAAUAGACAAGAAGAGGCGAUGAACGGUCAUGGUGGUUGUUGGAGUUGGAGAAAUGGCGACCUGGUACUCCUUUUUUAUGGCGCGGUUUAGCUUCAACCUGUUAGGGAGGUACACCGCACCGAACCAAUCUCCACCGUUUAUUUUACGAACGUUGACCGUCCAUAGUGAAACAACUCAUUUUCCAUGUAUACAAGGGUCAGAGUGCAACCGCAUUCCAUCCGACCGCGUUCGUUUUGCCACGUGUCCGCGGAUGCUAAACCUACACUAUAAAUAUAAAUAUAAAGCAGUAUAAUUAUAAUAAUAAUAAUAAUAAUUAUUAUUAUUAGUUUAAAUAUUCGCGACGAAUAAUUAAUCUCUUCGGCUUCGAGAGCGCUGCUUGGCGAAUUCUAGAACCUCAUCUCCCCAACAAUGGCGAUGACGAUUUUUAGCUCUGCUUUUAGCGGAUUUGAUCGAUCGUUAUGCUUCGUCUUCUUGUUCGAGGAGCUGUUUCAAUUCUCUUUUCCGACCUUAAAACGGCGAGAGGAGAGGAGGUAGCACUUCGAAACCCUAAUCCUUGUUUCUUUCCCUCCAUUUUCCGAUUAUCUUUAGCUCGUGCCAUUUUGAAAAAGCAUUUUGCUCCGUCGUGCUUGUGAAGGUAUGGAACACAAAAUUCGAUUAGCGGAUUGUUCCGAUCCGGUGUUCAUCUAGGGUUUCAUUGAUUUCUUGCUAUUGAUCUGAUGUUUCGUUCGCUUUCGUUUUGACGAAUAGUUCUCUUACGGUUCUUUUUUUCGUUCCCGACCUCGAUCGUUAGAACUAUGCCUUAUGCGACUUGGCUGCUGUUUGAGCUAAUGGGAAUGGAUCACGAUUCUCAGUUCCCGCCCGAUGCUGCCUCACUAUUAAUUUGAAUGGCUUCUAAUUGUGUCUUGUUGAAAGUGGAACUUGGCAUGUUCUGAUUUUCUUGCAUUUUGAUUUUUACGACUUAAUGAUACCCAAAAUAUAUGUAUGUAUGCCCUUUUACUUGGAACAAAGAGGGUAGUGUAAUGUACGAGUGGGGUUAUAAGAAUAGCUAACAGACAGCUGUCUGAACAUUAGCCCAUGAUUUUUAACUGCUUUGAAUGGUGGCAGAACCUGUGAUGGCUGGAUGUUAUUUUUUACGGUGAUGAAUGCGCCACAGCAGUAAGGUUUGGUGGGCCGCUAUGCACAUAACGGUUAGUCCUGUUCCCUUAUUACAACAUUUUCAUGGAAUCUUUGAUUCUAGUGAAAAUUCUUACUUCUUUUAACAUCAUUUUCCUACCUGAGAAAAGCUGCAUUUUUAAUAUGUAAGUAAAUCAGCAUUCGUGUGUGAUGGACUUUGAAAUUAGGGAAUGAAUCAGCAAAACAUAAUGACAAAUAUCUUUUCUGAUGCAUUCACAUAUUGGUGGCAGCAAUGGCCAUUGCUGUCUGUAACAUUUUGGGUCUACAUACAUUCUGGUGUUUGAGAUUUUAACUGAAGAGCAUAAGACUGUCUUCUUGACAUUUUGCUCAAUAAGCAUUAGCCAGUGAACCUCCUGCAUAGAUUAAUCAUUUUGAAAAUUUACCCAAAAUAACAGGUUAAGUUGUUCAUUUUAUACAGCUUCUGCUACAAUCGAAAGUAUUAAUUCGAACGUCCGGGGGGUCAAGUGGUCGAACUAAUGGGAGAACAAAAUGUAGGUUUAGUUACUAUAGGCGGAGUUUGUGAAAUUUGUAUUCUACAGAUUGUAGAACAUUGGAAAUGAUUGCAAAAUUUGUGUUUUGCUUAUUGCAGAACAUUGGAAAAUGAUUGCAAACUAUCUACAGAAAAAUCUGGUCCUGAUAUUUGCUUAUAGUGACACACAUUUUUAUCAUAUUCUUAUGUUUCUUGUAUUCAUCGAUUUAUCUUUGAGCUUAACAAGUUUUUUCCCCCCUCUUAGGAGUUCAAAUUUUUCAUGUCUGUUGUGGGUUCCUUACUCCAAACAGGGCAUACAUUCUUAGAUUGAUUCUCAUAAGGGUAUAAUCAGUUUGGUUUGGUUCCUUUUUUAUGCAUUUUUCAAACCGAACCGAAUUUUUCGGUUUGGAAAAAUUCAGAAUCGAACCGAACCGAUUUAGACUUGAAACCAACCCAAACCAAACCUAAUUAAUUUGGUUUGGUUCGGUUUUGCAAUUAGUUUAUAGAUUUUCUAUCUUUCUGUUAGGAUUUGGUUAGAUUUGUAGUUGAAUCCUAUUUAGAUUAGGAUUAAUAUUUAAAUAUGUUGAAAAUAAAUUAGGAUUUAAAUAUUAAUUAGAGUAUGAAUCUAAUUAGAUUAAGAUAAAUAUUUAAAUCUAUUGGAGAUAAAUCAAUUAAGAUUUAAAUAUUUAUUGCAGUAGGAAUCCUAAAUAUAAUAGGAUUGGGGUACAUCUUUGGUUGAGCAUUAUAUAUAAUGCAUUGGGCUAAUUAAUUAGUAGAGGCUAUGAGAAGGUACGGACUUGGCCCCUUGGGUGUGUUGUACUAGAGAGAGAAAGAGAGAGAGAAAGUUAGUGAGUUGAGUGCACCUAGUGCAUAGGUGCACAAGAAGAGUUGUCUCUUAUGGCUUUAUAGAAGACGAGAGAAGGGUAGAAAAGAUUCAGAAAGAGGGCUCGUGUUGUAGCUACUCUAUGCAGAAGAUGAGUCAGGUGUAAUUUUCUCUUAUUUAAUAAAUCUUAUUUUACCCACAUAUUUUCUGUUUUAUUUUUUCUCUUUGUUGUGAUUGUAUCAACUUUUGCUGAGGAUACGGAUUUAUGGUAAAAAUCCAAUUCGACGCUUUCGUUGCGGAAUCCCAACAAUCAGUACCGGAUUCACAACAGUCGGUAUCGUAGCAGGUUGCGGAUUCACAAGAUCCGGUACCGGGGCGAGUACCGGAUUCUCAACACUUUCUUAUGAAUUAAUUCAUAAUUUAAGAAUCAAAAUUGAAUUAUUGUGAAAGUUACACACAAAAAAUUUGAUCAUAAGUACAGAAUUCUAAAAAAUGUGUUAAUAUGUUAUCAAGAUUUGAUCAGAGAUAUAAAAUUUUAAUAAAUAAUUUAGAUAAAAAAUGUAUAUAAUAUUACUGUUCAAUUUUCGGUUCAGUUUGGUUAAGGAAUAUAUUAAAACUGAAGAGAAACCAAAAAUCGAAUUUUAGCUAUUUCUAAAACUAAACCAAACCGAAAACCAUAUAAACUGAACCAAAUUGUCUUAUUUGGUUUGGUUUCGCUUGGUUUUUGGUCUGGAGUCAAACUGUGAACACCUUAGAUUCUCGUGUACCAUAAUUUAGACUUUCAAGUUUCUUUUGCUGUUCACAUUGUUUAAAAUAGUAAUCUUUUACAAAACUUAUGCCAAGUUAAAUAGUUUUUCUUUCAUUACAUUUUGUCAUAAUUGAGCUGAAUGGACUGUUUUCUUUAUUUGUUCUUUAAUUAGGUAACAUAAUGUAAUGCUUUCUUAGUAGUCUUUAAAUGAGCUGAUGUUUGCAAUUAUCUGCAACUGUAUAUUUUUAAUCUCGAGGACCAUGUUAUUUGUGAUUCUACCUUUUGAUGUUCAUAUGAAACUCCGUGCUCUAUUACCCAUGAACCAUGUUGUUUGUAAUAUUGCAUGUAUAUAAUCAAUUGUUUAAUUCAUCCACGGCAUUUCUGUACCUUUUGGUUUUGACUUUUUUCUUUGUUGGGCUUUGUCUAGGCUUCUGAUAGCAUGUAUUAUAUAAUCAAUUGUUUAAUUCAUCCACGGCAUUUCUGUACCUUUUGGCUUUGAUUUUUUUCUUUGUUGGGCUUUGUCCGGGAUUUAAAAAAAAAAAGUUUUGUUGUCCUUCUAAAUUGUUUCAAACCAUAUGUUAGUCAUAAUUUUGGUUGCUUUAUUAAUCAGAACUUUAAAAUAUAUAAGUAGCCCUGUUAGCAGUUUAAUAUAUAUAUUAUAUAUAUUAUAUAUAUUUUUUGUUAUGAACUACUUUUUAUUUUCUUAACUAGUAAGAACAUUCCCAGUUUUUGACUCGAGUGAAAGUAGUGCAUCCUCCUUUCUAGAGUGCUGACCCUUGCAUGCCAUCAUUCCUUGUUAAAUACUAAACUGAGGCCAUGACAUUUUGUAUAACAAGACAAUUGGGAGAGCUGCUCUGUUCUUUAGAAAAUUCGGUAUGUUAGUUAUAAGGACUCUCUAAAUUGGAGGUGCUGAGGUGAACUAUGAAUGCUUUUAUUGGUCCGAUGAAGUUCCAUCCUCGUUUCUUUUCUUUCCAACUAAUUACUUGCAUUUGGCUAUCUCCUCAUUUCUUGGCAGUCUUCUCAAAAUCGAGGGCUCCAGUAGAGGGAAGAGAGAGAGAGAGAGAGAGAGAGAGAGAGAGAGAGAGAGAGGCUUCUCCUCAGGCUCGCUGCCUUCUGAAGCCGCCGCUAGCAAAGCUAAAAAGGUCUCACUCCCAGGCCUGGGUACUCCUUUGAACCGUACGACUUUCUAGCUUGUUCUUUAUGUACACGAGCUAAAUAUCAACUCUUUCGCGCUCUCUUUUUCUUGUGUGUGUGUGUGUGUGUGUGUGUGUGUGUUUUAGGGUGUCUUUUUCUUUAUUAUCCUGGAUGCAUGGGUGUGUGUGUGUUUUUUAGGGUCUGUCUUUUUCUUUAUUAUCCUGGAUGCAUGGGGGUUGAUUGGGAAUGAGUGUGUGGUGGGCUUCUUUUGCAAAUAGCCCCUUCACAAAAUUUUAUUUUAAAAUUAGUCCUGUCAAAAAUUUAUUUGCAAAAAUGGUCUUGCUCCUGCCACACAAGCGCCACGUCAGCGCCAUGCGGGCAGGGCAGGAAUUUAAGUUGAACACGGUGAAUAGUUCACUGUGUCCAAUACAAAUAUCAUGUUGGACCCCACUGGGUAGAGGCUGUGGCCCCCACUGGGUUCUACUCACGCGACACAAGCAGCCCAUUAAGGGCGGAAUUGGCCUACCUUUCUCAUCAUCAUUUAUGGGCAGAUGCUAGCUUUUAAGACCAGAUUGAUCAGAAGUUUAUCUGAAUGAUGAUGAGCGAAAUAAUAAUCGUUAUGAAAAGCUCCUUCUCCUCACCCAUCUGUUAAUUUCCAAUUGGAGCUGUCAAACUUGUUUUUUUUUAGAAAAAUAAAAAUCUCAAAUAAAAAUAAUUUAUUUAAUUGUUGGAUUUAUAGAUCAUGUCUAUCUCCUCAUGAUUUGUACUUCACUACCGAUUAAAUAUCGUUAUGUAUGCUAAUUUGUAAAUUAUUAUUAAAUUUGUUUGUAAGUGUAAUUCUACUGGCCGACCGUUUUUAGCGCAAGUGAUAAAAAAUUUGAUUGUUAGUAUUCAAGGUUUUAAGUUCGAAAUCUAGUUAUUUCACACAUUUCUAGUUAAAUUUGUUUUUUAAAGAAAUAAAUAAAGCGGAUAGCAUAUUAUCUUUUUUUCUUAAAAAAAAAAAAUACUAGUUAGACAAAGAAUAUUGAAGAUGUUAUCUUGUGAACGCAGUCAAUGAAGCUAGUAAUACCACAUUACGAAUUUGUACGAAGAGUUUAUAGAGAAUGCACAACUUUACCACAUAUUGUUCACUUUGUGCAUGAAAAAGCACAGGUAUUAGCGUGACGAUGAAAAGGGGAUGCAUAACAUUACAGUAAUACAUGGUGUACGAGUGAGUCUGAACACCUUGCUAUUGGUACUGAUAUAUAUAUAUAUAUAUAUGGAGACAGGAAGCUUAGAAUGCCCAUAUUAGCCUAUGAGAGUUAUUACGAGAUGCCUCCCAUAUAUCCCCGUAAUACGAGCUGUAAACGACAUCACAUAGCAGCACAUCUACACUGGGGAGUCAGAUGAUAUGUAGAAGUUUCAAUUAAGGCAGACUCGGACGGAUUUAAUUUAAUGCCCGUAAUUCACAUCUAUCAUCUAACCAUUCAGGUGGCGAACCAUCCAAGGAGGCAAGCCCAUGCGAGCUUGGGGCUGCGCUAUCCCUUCUACUUCCUCAGCUCCAGUCCCUGUCGCCUGAUAUGUCCUACAGCAGUUGGAAAAAGCACGACUAGUUAACUUAUUGCUCAUGCUUUUCAUGUGGAACUAGUGUAGCACGAUUGCAAACGUCAGGUAAAUUCAAAAACGUAGUAACAAUUUUAAAUGCCGUGAAUUGUAGAGGCUCCCCUUUAGAAGGGAGGGAGGUUCUUUUUCUCAAGAAACUAUAAAGCAAGCAAAAGCAAGAGUAUCGGCAGGGAACGUAUGACUCUGUAAAGCAAUGGAGAGAUAGAUGGGGAGUUUGUUUCAGUUAUUCGGCCCUGCCUGUAAACGCUGAAUGAAUGGUCAUCACUUUAGGCCAAUAAAGAAUCAAUAAAUUGCGGAAUGGGCUAUGCUUGAGGAGCUAAUAUCGUUACUGAACGUGCCUUAGGAUGCAGCAGGUAAAUUAAGUUGGAAAGAGUAGAGUACCCGAUGUUAAGGGUGGGGAGAGAGUCCGUGGGCAGUAGGAAGGAGAGCGGUGAGGAGGAGUUUGUAGGAGGUUGAGUUUGCUGCUCCCAGUGUUGCUGCUGUGUCAACGCCUUCUGCUUCUCCAUCAGCUGUUUGAAAAGAAAUGAGAAAAAAAACAAAACAAAACGAAAGAAACAUGACGAGCUCUCUUGUUUAUUUAUCAGAGAGGAGUAUCAAGAAACUAACUAGUUGUAGAAUAUGCAUAUGCAGUGGGGGUGUAAUAUUGUUAGUGCGAAGAGAGAAACAAACAAAUUAAUCUUACUUCCUUCUCCAGAGCCUUGUUGUGUUCCUGAAGUGAUUUCUCCUGCAAGGACAACUAAAAAGUGAGCGGCUGGGUCUGUCCAGAAUUAGAUACUGCAAUUCGGAAUUAUAUACAAGUCCCUAUUGCGUGCUCAAUUUUUUCUUGGUUCUGAGCAACUACUCGGCUGAGCACGCCUGCGACCAAAAAAAAAGAAAGAAAAAAAAAGGGAAAAGGAAAACUAGCACGUUGCUUCUUUCUAAGAGUUAAAGACCAACGCAAAUACCUUUCUCUUCAGUUCAGAGAUCGAGUCAAGCAAUAGUUGGCUCUGCAUCAAAAUUGAAAGCCAUGUAAGUAACGGCCUUACCAAAUCAUCUAUGCCAGCUGAUAUGUUAAUAUAUAGUGUAUGUAUGCACUGUGCUCAUCAAUAUAUAUAUAUAUAUAGGCUAGGGCUACUAUAUUCUUAUGAGUAUAGAGCCCUUUGUACUUAUAAGUUGUUUUCGAUGAUAGGACUUCCGAAUCGACGAUCCACUCCGUUAAAUAUAAUCUAAAAUAUUUGAAACUUUUACAAAAUAAAUUUCGUAAUUUUUCGAAAUCAUAUUAAAGUCCAUCAAGCAGGCAUAAAAUGAACGAUCAAAAUUGAACGACGUCCUAAAACUGGAUGAUCGGAUCCUUUAAUUUAAGAUCGGAGUUAUUGAUUUUUAUCUAGGUAGUAAAUAGAAUUUUCUAUCAAAAAUUCAACCUAUUCUGAUUCUUUUAUACCGUUAAACUAGCAAGUAUCUCAUACCAACCGUUAAAAAUUAUCAAUUUUGUGAGCUUUUGAUCGUAAGGCAAAUGAUAUCGAAAAAUUAUGAAAUUUGAUUUCUAGAAGUUUUAAAUGUUCUAGAUAAUGCUUAACGGUAUGAAUCGUCGAUUCAGAAGCUCUAUUAUCGAAAACGACUUAUCAGUAUGAGAGCGAUCGUACUCAUAAGAAUAUAGUAACCGAAUUAUAUAUAUAUAUAUAUAUAUAUAUAUAUAUAAAGAGAGAGAGAGAGAGAGAGAGAGAAAGAGAGUUGAGUUAGAAUACUCUCAAAAGCACCAAUGGGUGCUUGAAUUUUAUAGUCAUUGGAUGGAAAUGUAGGUUAAUGAUGUGAUUAGUGGUCGGUAGGUGGAUAGUAUUUGAUUUAAGAUAUUUAGUAAUAAGAGUAGAUUCCAAGGCGUAGAAUACUUAGAAGCACCCAAGAGUGGUACUCUAAAAGUAUUCUAGUCAUUAUAUAUAUAUAUAUAUAUAUAUAUAUAAUAUAUAUAGAGAAAGAGAGAGAAGAGCAGAGAGAGAGGAGAGAGAGAAGAGGAAGACGAGAAGAGAAGAGAGCUAAGGCUACAUUACUAUUGGCAGUACGGAGGCCUUCGUGCUACUAAAUUAUUUUCAAUGAUGCGACUUCCAAAUCGAUGAUCGGCUCCAUUAGAUUUAAUCUACACUAUUAAAAGUAUUUGGAAACUAAAUUUCAUAAUUUUUUGACAUCAUUUGGCUAGUGAUCAAAAGGUCUCAAAAUUUAUAAUUUUAAUGGUAGAUGUGAUGCAUUUGUAAAUUUAACGGUGUAAAACAAUCCAAAUCCAAUGAAAUUUUUAUAGAAAAUUUUUUUCACUAUUUAGAGUAAGAUUAGCACAUCUAAUCUUAAAUUCAAAUUUUUUAUCAUCAUUUUUUAUGAGAUUUUUAUUUUCAGCCGUUCAUUUUUAUACUACUCAUUUGAUAGGUAAAUGAUACCGAAAAAUUAUGAAAUUUAGUUUCAAAUACUUUUAAUAGUGUAGAUCAAGUCUAACGGAGCCGAUCGUCGAUUUGAAAGCCGCAUCAUUGAAAAUAACUUAGUAGCACGGAGGCCUCCGUGCUACCGAUAGCAUACCAACCUAACUCUCUCUCUCUCUCUCUCUCUCUCUCUCUCUCUCUCUCUCUCUCUCUCUCUCUAUAUAUAUAUAUAUAUAUAUAUAUAUAUAUAGC